CUACAUCUAUGCAUUAUGCAUCUACCCAACGAUUUAAGUGUCCAUUGGCACAGACCGUAUAUACUGUGCCGUAUCGUGUACGGCACGAUACUAUUAAUAGUAUUCCAACUCAACUAGAUAUAUGUAUAUAUAAUCCGGUUAUUAUAUCACUUUAUACUUAUAAGUUUUCGGCUGUUAAAUCUUCUCCUUUGACUAUUUUUAUCUGUUAAAUCAUACUAUUCAACCAACCACCUACUCAAUCCUAAGAAAACCACCACUAAAACCGACCGUCCUUAGAGCAAGUGGCAAAGGGCUUGAUUGUUGGUACCUGAGAUCCAAGUUUGAAUCCUAGUUGAUUUACAUUUCUAGCUAAGUUUAUUUCUAAAUGAAAUAAACGAAGCGGGUAGCGUGCUACCUAUAUCUCAAAAAAAAAGCCACCACUAAAUCUCCGGGGAUCACUAUCAUUCUAGCCCUAUAAAGAGCUUAAAUGCUAUUAAUAAUAUUUCAAUUCAAUUCUAUAUAUAGAGAGAGAGAGAGAGAGAGAGAGAGAGAGAGAGAAAGAUAUGUAUGUAUAUUUGUGAUAUUUUGGAAAGGGUGGAAAGUAAUGGAGAAGGGAGGAGGUAGGGAGGUAGGGGUGGAAACGAGCCGAGCUCGAGCGAGCUUACCUUGGCUCAAAUUCGAUAAUCUGUAUAAAAACAUAGUUUAAUAUCUACUACAAGAUAUUUUUAAUUUGAUAACUAGCAUAUUACAACUCUUAAAGUUCGCCGAGCAAAUCCCGAGCUCGAGCGAGCUGAACUUUAAUCCGAGCGAGCUCGAGCCGAGCUUAAUUAAAGUUCGGUUCGAACUCGGAUUUAAAUCUGAGCUUUAAUUAAAGUUCGGCUUAAAGUCGGUUCCAUUCGAGCGAGCUCGAGCCGAGCUUAAUUAAAGUUAGGUUCGAACUCGAAUUUAAAUCUGAGCUUUAAUUAAAGUUCGGNACAAAUAAAACUUUAUAAUACCGUAUAAUUAUGAAGAAAUGAAAACACGGAGCAAUGCCAAAAGAACAAGAAACAAGAAAAAGAGUCGAACAAUGAUGCGAACAAAGUUCCAUUGUAAACAGUAAUUGAACUGCAAAUUAUGAUUCAGGGCAAAAAAUCUAUACAUGUACAGCUACAGAAAGAUGUAGUUCUAAGAAUAAAUAUCGUUUAAUUUCACACAGCCCUCGCUCCGAUCCGUCAAACAGAUACUAUUUUUUGUUCAUUAAAAUCAGCCUAUUUACCUUUUAAUAUUGGUGGAAUAGACCGUGAAACAGUCGGACCAGAGGUUGGCCUCUUACAACUUUCGGACGAUCCUACAUGCGAAUCAAAACUUGUGCUUCAUGCGUGUUCUUCUUGAUGCAAAUGACUCACGACCUCUCCUUGGUUGUCGAGUGGCAUGUACUGAGCCAUAAUAGCCCUAAUCUCGGAGUCCAUGUAUGACUGAGAGAGAGAGAGAGAGAGUGAGAAUUAUGAUAGUGGGCUAAAAGAAAAAUAUAUGAAUGAAGAGCAACGUGUCAGCAUAUUUACCCUUAAUCUAUACUUGUACACAACAUAUGCUCCUGCCGCAACAGCGGCCAAGAUUAUCGUAAUCACCCAAACAGCAACCCAGGUUGCUUUCGCUUCACUUGCUCUCUUACCUGCAAAUUUUCCAUUCCGAUGGUUAUCAAAUGAUAUUAUUUGCUGGGAGUCAUGGGAUACAACUAUCGUGCUCCCUGAUGUACAAAAGGUCUCCGCUGCAGGUGCAAUCGUAGCUUCCCCAUGUAUUUUUGCAGCUGCAUUCAGGGCACUGGCAAGCUUUCUUCUCCUUGCAUUCAUCAAUAUCUGUGAAUGUAAAAGAGAAAUAUAGUUCGACCACUGAUAUGUUGAGCAACCAGAUUUACUUGUUUUGCAUUUCUUCAAAUAAAUGUUUCUAACCAUAUAAAUCUAGAAUAAGGGAAGAGGCCCAUUCUAAGUCAAUUAAGUGGUUAAGCAAGAAUGAUACCUUCACAUGUUUUAACACCGUCGCCCAGAGGGACAUUGGCAUUUGUUAUCUCCCACUUGCUAAAUAAACCAGAUGAAUAGAUUACAAGAAUCACUUAAGAAAGAGAGAUAAAUAGAUCAAAAGAAUCACUUUAAAAAAGAGCAAUCAAAUAAAGGAUAAGGCAAAAUUGGUCCAGAUUUUGCAGACUUAAUGGAUCUAAACUAACCAGGCAUGCCGAGAAGGUGUUUCUGUCAUGACUGCCCUUCCAACAGCCACCGUUGUUUAUCCGGCAUCUUCCAGGCCCAAAAGCUGCACCGCAAAAAAAGAAUUCGAGCUUUUCGAGCUUUUCGAGCGUAAGCUUCUAAAUGGUUAAAAAUUGUAUGGUUUGGAUGAUUGCGGUCUCGUCUAAGAUUAAUUCUUGAACUCUUAGGAUUGAGUGGUCCCUAGAAGGUAAUCAUUAUAUUUAUCCAACACAGCUGAGAGACGAUUACAUGGAUUGAUGUAAGAUAUCAAUGAAUCGAAAGUGCUAUAUCUCUAUACUUUCGAUAGCAUAUUAUGCUGCUACUAUAUCUAUAUAUUCGAGCUUUUCGUUGCUUUUCGAGCCUAAUUUUAAAUGGUUAAUAAGAUCUGUGUGUUUAUCAGAGAUCAGUAUUGCGAGGUUUCCUCUGAGAUUAAAUACCAUUGGAAAACUCUUAGGAUUGAGGUUGGUCCUUACAAGGUACUUGCUCUCAUAUUACUCGAACGAUGCAUGUACCGAUUAACUUGCUUGGUCCAGUUAUGAAUCAAGGAAUCGAAAGCAGCAGAUCUCUAUACUUUCGAUUGCAUAGUAGGUCUACUCUAUGGGCAUGUUUGAUUCGAGCUUUUCGAGCUUUUCGAGCCUGGAAUCGGAAUCUGAAUUGGUUAAUCCGUUUGUGUGUGUUUGGAUGAUUGCGGGAGUCUCCUCUCCGAUUCCCUAUUCCUGUUUGGAUUGAGUGGUCCCUACAAGUUACCUCAUAUUUUUAAUCCGAAGCUUAGAAACGAUUCCAGGGAUUGGAUGUUAGAAUCAAAAAAUCGGACGGACUGGAUCUCUAUACUUUCGAUAGCAUAGUAGCUCUACUAUAUAUAUAUAUUCGAGCUUUUCGAGCUUUUUGAGCCUAAUUCUAAUAUGAGUUAAAAAUUGUAUGGUUUGGAUGAUUGCGGUCUCCUCUAAUUUUAAAUUUUACUCUUAGGACUUGAGUGGUCCCUACAAGGUAUUAAUAAUAUUAAUCCAAAGAUAUGAAACGAUUCAAGGGAUUGAUGUAAGAUUCAUAAAUUUGAAUUUACCAGAUCUCUAUAUUUUCGAUUGCAUAGUAGUUCUACUUUAUAUUUAUAUUGUAGCUUUUCGAGCUUUUCGAGCCUAAUUCUGAAUGGUUCAAAAUUGUAUGGUUUGGCAUUAUUGCGUUCUCCUCUCAGCUUCAAAUAUUACUCUUAGGAUUGAGUGGUCCCUACAAGGUAAUAAUAGAUAUUAAUCCAAAGAUGUGAUAUUAUUUAAAGGUUUUGAUGUAAGUUUUUAAUCAUUUAAUUUUUAAUUUGAAUUUACCAGAUUAAUAUAUUAUAUAGCAUAAUGUUCGUAUAUUAAUUUGAUUAUGUUUUUUAUUUCCACCUGAUCUAAAUUUUAAUAAUGGGGAUGAUUGCGGUCUCCUCUAAGAUUAAAUAUUACUCUUAGGAUUGAGUGGUCCCUACAAGGUAAUAAUAAUAUUAAUCCAAAGAUAAGAAACGAUUAAAGGGAUUGAUGUAAGAAUCAAAAAAUCGAAAGCACCAGAUCUCUAUACUUUCGAUAGCAUAGUAGCUCUACUAUAUAUAUAUAUUCGAGCUUUUCGAGCUUUUCGAGCCUAAUUCUAAAUGGUUAAAAAUUGUAUGGUUUGGAUGAUUGCGGUCUCCUCUAAGAUUAAAUAUUACUCUUAGGAUUGAGUGGUCCCUACAAGGUAAUAAUAAUAUUAAUCCAAAGAUAAGAAACGAUUAAAGGGAUUGAUGUAAGAAUCAAAAAAUCGAAAGCACCAGAUCUCUAUACUUUCGAUAGCAUAGUAGCUCUACUAUAUAUAUAUAUUCGAGCUUUUCGAGCUUUUCGAGCCUAAUUCUAAAUGGUUAAAAAUUGUAUGGUUUGGAUGAUUGCGGUCUCCUCUAAGAUUAAAUAUUACUCUUAGGAUUGAGUGGUCCCUACAAGGUAAUAAUAAUAUUAAUCCAAAGAUAAGAAACGAUUAAAGGGAUUGAUGUAAGAAUCAAAAAAUCGAAAGCACCAGAUCUCUAUACUUUCGAUAGCAUAGUAGCUCUACUAUAUAUAUAUAUUCGAGCUUUUCGAGCUUUUCGAGCCUAAUUCGAACGAGCUGAGUAAUACUUAAGCUCGGCUUGAAAUGAAUUUCGAGCCUUUUUUUUGUUCAAGCUCGGCUCAUUUAAUUUCAAGUCGAGCUUGAGCGAGCCAAAUAUCGAGUCGAACGCGAGUCGAACGCGAGCCGGCUCGCUCAUUUGCCAGCCCUAGGAGGAGGAGGUGAGGGACAUUUUCAUGCAAUCCACGCAACAAGUGCUGAAACCAAGAGAUCCCUUGUACUUUGGGUUGUUGCAUUGGACCACAAAAGUACUUUUACCCAACUUAGACUUUUUCAACAGUUAUAUAUAUAAAUCAAUUGAAAUUCGUAAUUUUAUAUAUGUCUGUAUAUCAACAGUAUAAAAAAAUAAUAUUUUAGAAGGCCUGCAAUAGUAUUAUUUUAAGAAUCACCAACAUAAAGAAUCUCAAGCCAUUUAAAUUUUUUUUUUUGAGUUGAUUAGGGCUUUGAAAGAAGUGCUAGUUAAUUAAUUCAGUAUAUCGAAUGAAACAUAUGAUAAUAUGUUUCUAUUAGAAAUCUCUCACCAAUUUACUACUAUUUGUUGGAUAUGCCCUUCAAAUUAUAUACAGAUUACGAUUAAUUUUUCUAUUCAAUAUAAGAUUAUUAUUCUUCGUACAUUUUUUAACACGUAUAUAAUACUGUGAGCUACUAACACAUACCAUAGACCCAAUACAAUCACGCGAUAGUAAUGUACUAAUCAUAAUUAAUAUUUCCAUAAAUGCAAUUUGCAUAUUAGGCGCGACCAACACAGGACACAAAUAUAAAUAUUUUGGACAAUGCAAAUACCAUAUGGCAUAAGUAAUUUUACGUGUUCGAUACGAUUAGAACAUGAUUACUGAACUAGCUAACAAUAAAGAAAUAUAAACAAAAAAUCUCACAAUUUUUAUUUUAUAUCUAUAUAUCAAAUUAUUAUUCUUACCACAAAAAAUAUUAAUAGCUUAUUGUGUCAAGUGCCGUAAUAGGACGGUGGCACAAUUGGACAAGUAUUGUUUUGAUUUAGGCUAAGCAGGUUACCAACCACAUUUGAUCACAUAACCAACAUUAUUUUCCCCUAUAAAAAAAAACAAUUUUAUGUCUUAUUAUGAUAUUAUUAUCAUAUAAUGUGUACCCAAAAAGGACAAAAAUAAUGACGCUUGAUAUAAACAAAUGCACAAGGGAGGUGUCAUAUACUUGUCCUCUUUUGGUAGUCGAAAUCACCACCUCUUACAAAAAGAACAUGGGAGACAUUUGGCAUUUUCCCCCUCCAUUUUUUUGUCAUUUUAAUUCAGACCCACAAAAAUCCAAGAUCUGUGAAAAGAAAAAAAAAAUAGAUAUAUAAAAAGGAACCAACAAGUUGUCUCUUCACUGUUUCGGUUUAAAAUGGGAGGAGAGGGAUGCGUUUUAUUUUCAUGCAAAAGAGAAAAAAAUAAAAAUAAUAAUGUUACGAUAGUGUCAUCGCUAGCUUAUAUUUAAACAAAUUGGUCUUUUAGAAUGAAAAUUACAUUCCCAUUUUAUUACUUGAAUAGGGUGAAAUGCAUGACCAAUUUCUACAAUUUCAAAAUUAGAUGGCAAAAAAUAUGCGUUACAUACAGUAGAAAAGUUUAAAUUUUUUUAUUUAUUUUUGCAAGGAAUAACAUGUUUUAUAGAUAAUACAGAUUCAAUAAAUAAAUCGGGAUCUAACUUUGUAAGAUAUUAGCUAGAUGCAUUUUUAGAGGCUAGAUUUUACUCUCACAAACUAUUAUCAAACCUUAUCCAACAAAACCAAAAUAAAAAAUAAUAUCGGCAAAGUAGCUACUUCGUGUUUUGUUAAUCCUUUUUUUUUCUUUUUAAGGUUUUGCUCGUCGUAUCGAGUAAAGCCUAUUAUCUCACUUCUGUAGUCUAAUUCAUACUUACAAUGAACGAAGCGGAUAGUAUAUUAUCUUUUAUUUUCAAGAAAUAUGAAAUCAAAAUAAAAUAAUCAAAGUAAAAGAAAAUGUCAAUGUUUGCUUCUAAAAGAAACUAUGAACAUAUGCAAUGAUAAAGACUCAUCAAAACCAAUACUAAUUAAGUAACUCUCACAACGACACGAUCAAAACUUAAAUAACACGCCUCAUUGAUUAUAAACUAUCACUUGCUCCAUAGUGGACAAAAAAGAGGGAUUAUUUUAACUUAACUAUAUUAGUGGAUCAAAGUGGACGCAAUCAAGUACAAGUAGAAGUGGAAGCAUCAUAGAAGUCUCACUCACAUGAGGACCAAGGACAUUUUGUGCACUUAUAAAGGAAAUUAUGACAUCUUCUUUUAUAUGUAAAAAAUACACAUAUGUUAUAUUAGAGUAAUGCUUCUAUACUUUUUUUUUUUUUUUUAUUAUCGUUCAUUCACGCAUAUUCAACGGCUCAGAUUUAAUUUUUUUUAAAUUAUGACUUGCAAUAGCAGAUCACUUUGGAAAAGGUACCGGUUACCAAGUACCUCAAAAAAGAAUAUUUUUAUCUUUUAAUAUAUGAACAAUUUAGUUAUUUUACAUCUACUAUAUUUUCAAAAUUUUUAUUUUUUCUUUGUUUCCUUUUUCUCUCUCUAUCUUUUCUUUCAUAAUUUGGCAUUUCAUAUAAGAAAAAUUUCAAAUGAUUUGAUAAUAUGAUCAUUGAAUUUAAACUUUAAAUAGUAAUAUGAAAUUUCUCAAAUUUAAAUUUCACUUUUAAAUUUAAAAUUUAAUAUUAUAUUCAAAUUUAUAUUUUAAAAAUUUAAGUUUCAUAUAAAUACUUUGAAAUAUGGUAAACAGAAAUAAUUGUUUGAAUUCUAGUCUUUUGAUUUAGGUAUGGUUUUGGAUUUCGAAAAAUUGGUAAGUUUUGAAUUUGGAUAUGGAUUUUUGAAAUCCUUCGAGUUCGGAAAUAAGUUUUGUGAUUGUUAGUUAAAUUUGAAUUCAAAUUCCUAACUAUUUUUUUUCUCACCAAUAAUUCUAAUCUUUUAAAUUUAUAUGUUUAAAAUUAUAUUUAAAAUAUUUAUUAGCUCUAAUAGUUAAAUUAUCAUUUUGUUUAAAAUAUUUAUUAUUUUUACCGGUUCCAAAUUGUUCUUAAUGUUAUUCGGUUCAAUAGGUUAAAAUCAGAUUCUUGAUAGAAUAGGUCAAAGUCUGAUCAGUCAAAUCAAUCGGUUCAAUAUAGUUUUUAAAUCAUUGAAUUUAAAAUUUAAAUAGUAAUAUGAAAUUCCUCUAGAGAAAUUUAGUUGUAGAAAUCUUACUUUCUAAGUUUUUAAUGCAUUACGUUUUAAACUUGUGCGAAUAAAUUGUAUUUUAAAUCUUUGUAGAAAUUUAGUUUUUAAAUAAUAAUAUGAAAUUCCUCUAAUUUAAAUUUUAUUUUUAAAUUUUAAGUAUUUAAUUUUUAAAAUUUAAAUUCAUCGUAUUUAGAAAUAAAACUAUUUCUAAAAUUUCUAUAAUUUAAAUUAAUGCAUAAUUUGAGAAACACUAAAACAUUUAAAGUAGAUUCCUAAAUUAAUGCCUAAUAAUUGCAUAAAUUUGGUUAAUCAAUUAAUUUUCUAAAUUAGUGCUAAUUAAUGCAUAAAUUUAGGACCUCAAUUAAAAGUUUCUUUAAAUAUUGUAUUAUUUAAUUACCAAACUAACCUUGAAUAAAAUAAUUCUUUUACCUGCUAAGUAUUAGAGUUACAUUUUUACCCUCUAUUAAUCAGCAGUUAAGAUUUUUUUUUUUUUUUUUAAAAGUACCUAAUCAUUUCUCGUUAUAUUAUUGUGAUUUUAAUUAUUAUUAUUAUUUAUUUGAGCACUCCAUGAGAGUCUACUAUAUGUGUUUACUCUUUCCACCAAAGGAGGGGAGACUCAUUCAACAAAGUAGUCAACAACCACACAACUUAUUCUAACCUCUUAUUCCACCUCUCCAACUUAUUCUAACCCCUUUAAAAUCUGUUUCUUUCUCAAACAGAAUUUCAAAAAAAUAAAAAUAAGAUUUUUUUUCUAUAAAAUCUGAAAAAGAAUUUUUGUAGAAAAACUAAUUUUUUGAAAAUCAGUACCGAACAAAAAAAAAAAAAAAUUGUACACUUGCAAAUAAAUUUUACAACACUUCACAAAUUUAUAAAAAACAUUGCCUAUAUAAAAUAAGGAGGCAAUUGCUUAUAUAUCUCUGAAAAAUUUCUGACUUUCUGAUUUAUCCCUCUUUGAAGGCUAAUAUUAAAAAUACCCUCUUUACGUUCCAACUUAUUUCCAAUAUAUUCCUAGAGUUAAAUUUUAUUAGCAAUAGCUGUUAUCUUUAAAAAAUUACUAUUUUGCCCUUUUAAAUGUAUCUUUCUGCCAUCACCAACUUUUCUUAUUUGACUUUAAAUUAGGGAUAUAAAAAGUAUUUUAACUUUUUAUCUUUUCAAAUAUACCUUUUUACCGUUACCAACAUUUUUUAUUUGCCCUUAAUAAGUUAAGGACAAAAAAGGCAUUUUGAUUUUUUUUUAAUUCUGGUAGAUAUUAACUUACGUUUAACCCAAGUUAAUUUAACGGAUGUUUACUGUAGGAAUAUUUUGAAAUAACGGAUGAACAUAUAAGGGAAUAUUUCGAAAUAACAGAUGAACAUAUGAAAGGUAUAUUGGAAAGAAAAAAAAUUAGAGAUAAAUAAAAUAUUUUCGAAAUUUUGAGAAAUAUAUAGGCAAUUAUCCCUAAAAUAAGUAUAAGAAAUGUAAACCACAAAGGGUGCGUUUGGUUCGAGUUAUCCUGGCAGGAUUACAAGCAAUCCUGCCAGGAUAGCUGUGUUUGGUUAAUCCGCUAUGUAAUCUAGUCGUUAAUGUAGCAUUACAAAUCGAGCAGGAUUACAUCGAAAAUAUUAACGGGAGGGGGGUCGUGUAUCUUGCAUUACUGAAACCCGUUAAUACUACAUAUUAUGUAAAAUGACAAUUUUACCCUCCAACAACCCCAAAUCUAAUUAACAGCAUUAUUUUCAUCUCUCUCUCUCGCCUUCCCCCCUCUCUCUCGCACGCCGCUUUCUCUCGCUCUCUCUCUCUCUCUCUCUCUCGCGAACACCUAUCAUCUUCUAUUGCGUCGUCCUCCUAUGUAAUUAUCACGAUCUCCUUCCCUCCAUUAGUCAUUUCCGCAAAAAAUAAUAUUCAAAUGACCACAACAAGGACAAUUUUGGAAAAAACUAUACUUUUAUGUCAGGAUUACUAAAUUUUAUAAACUGAACCAAACGUAUUAAUGCUAUAAACACUGUAAUCUAGUAUUACAUUACUGUAUUAAACCAAACGCGCUAAUGCAGCAUCAAUAGUAAUCUCACGCCGAAAUCCAAGAUACCUGGAUAUGUCGAGAUACUUUGUAAUAUUACAUAACUCGAACCAAACGGGCCCAAAGAGAUAAGCUAGAUAUUAAAUUAUAUAGUUUGUAAAGUAUUUUAGCAUGUAUUUGUAAUUGAAAUAAGACGUUUCAAAUUGAAGCUUCAAUUCUUGUGCUUUAAUUAUAGUUUGGUUCCACGAAAUAGCAAAUGUUUUAGGCUUUUAAUUAUAGUAUAUAGCUACAACUAAAUGCAAGAACCAUUGCAUCGCAAAAAAACCCUAUGGAGCAAGCCAUUUUAACAUAACUCAUUAUUAAAGCACAAGGGACAAAGAGUUUAAUGAUUGAUUUUCGAGAUCUUAAAUUUAUAAUCUAAUUAUUUUACAUUUCUAAUUAAAUUUAUUUUUUUAAAAAAUAAACGAAAUAGGUAACAUAUUAAUUCUCUCUCUCUAAGAAAAAGAGAGUAGAUUAUAGUAGUAUAGUAGGAUUUAACUCGAUUUAAUUUCGCCUCACCCAAUAUUACCAAGAAAUAUAAUCUACCUCAACAACAACAACAACAUUACAACAAUAAGAACUAAAUUUAAUCCCUAUACAAUCCCAAUUUUGCAGCUUAGUCCCUAAACACUCGUUAUUGUACAACAUUGGAAGUGGAAAUUCAUUGCAAAAUUUAAAAUGUAAUAAUAUAUGCAAAAGUUUAAGGAGAAAAUAAUCGAAAUAAAACAUUACAGAGCAAUUACUUGCGGAAUUAAAAAUAUGACUAUUAUUCGAAAUUCGAAAACAUCACCACUAUAAUAUAACAUAACACCUCUAGUAGUAGCUUACGUACUCAUCUGGAACCGGACCGGCGGGGCGGUUUAGGUGGGCGAACGAACCGGACCGGACGAGGCGGCGCGGGCGCGCCGCGGCGGCGGCUUCGGCGACGGCGCACGCGGCCUUGCACGAUCCGUGCAGAUCCAGCACGGCGAGGCGCGCCGCGAUCGCGGCGGCGGCGCCGCGGCGGGGGCGGCGGCGCCGGAGCCGCCGACGACUCCCGAUCUCGUCGGAGGAGGAGGCGCGGGCGCACUCGGCGAGGGCGGCGGCGAAGGGAUCGGGGAGGGAGGAGGAGGAGGAGAUCGGGGGCGAGGGUUUGAGAGGAGGGGGAAGGGGGAGGGUUUUUUUGAGGAGGGGGAGGGGAUUUGGGGUUCGCGGGCGGGGGAUUUGGGGAUCGGGGUGCGCUCCCACAGAGAGGAAUGAGGAGGAGGAAAGAGAGGAGAGCGGGGCGAAUGGGAAGGGGACGGAGAAGGGGAGGGGAAGAGGAGGAGAACGACGACGACCGACGACGCGGAGCUCGACACGACCGACGAGCAGGAGGCGCGGCGGCGGAGGCGCGGACAAGGGUGGCCGCGGCGGCUGCGGAGGCCUUCGCCGCCGCCUCGGGCGGCGGCGGAGGCGCGGAGUCUCCCGGCGAGGUUUCAUCGGUGUAGAGAGAAGAGAGAGAGAGAGAGAGAGAGAGAGAGAGAGAGAGAGAGAGAGAGAGAGGGGGGGGGGGCGGGGGCGGUAUGUUUGGUUUGUUGUUGUUGGUGGUGCUGCUGCAGCAAUGUAGUGUGAAGGAGAUAAUGAGAUAAAUUGAAGGAGAGGUAUGUAUUUAAGUGUAUAUAUAUAUUUUAGUCAGCACUCACUCUCUCUCUCUCUCUCUCUCUCUCUCUCGCUCGCUCGCUAUUCGACGCGCGCGCUCGUCGCGCGCGUUGGUGGGGGGACGACGAGGCGGGGGAGCACGAAUGCAUGAUUUUUGAGGAUAAGUUAGGGUUGGGUUGGGUUGCGGAGAUAUUGCGUUACGUGCGGUAAGAAACGAUGAUAAAAUAAUAAUUAAAUUAAUAUAAAAUUCAAGUCGAAUUAAAUUAGAAUUUAAUCGAUCUAACCAAUUAAGGAAUGGAUAAAUUUAAAUUUAGAUUUGUACUUAUUCUUAAUGGUUACUAUAUUAUUAAAAAGAGGAUUGUAUUUCACUAUAUAAUAUACGGGAGUUUUUAGAAAAUCUAUCAGAAACAUAUUCCUAUAUGCUUUUUCUUUAACUCCAUUUUAUCUAAUAGCGUUAGAUAGACCUCAAUACCAAACUAAGUUUUAAGAAGUUUUUUAAAAAAAAAGAAGUAAAAAUACAGGAAAUUACUAUGAAUUAUAAAUUAUUUUUGUAUAGAUUAUAGAGACGGAUUUGUAUAAACAAUUCAUAAGUUUUGAGUUUUUGUAAAACUAAACCAUCUUUUUCAAUUUUGCAGAUUUGGACCAGAUUUAUCGACAUCGGACAAAAAUACCCUUAUUCCUUUUCUUUCUCUCUCUACUUUUUUUUAUUUUGUUAUUUUUUUUCUCUCCAACCCUCGUCGCCUCCUCCACUGUCUUCGCGGUCUGCGAUGGCAAUGAGGGCGUCCUCUUUCUCCAUCUCCUCAUCUGCCGACACCGGCAGCCCCCGGUGACAAUAACAAAGGCAGCGCCGUCUCCUUUUUCUAUUCUCUGCCUCCACCUCCGCCUUCGCCGGCACCGAAGAAAGAGAACUCGGAGCGGAUGCGGGUGAAGAUAGAGUAGAUGCCAGACGGAGAGGACGAGGUCACGAUCAAGGAGGUACUCGCCGCCCAUGAGCGUGAGGAAAAAAAAUGCACCCAUAUCCAAAGAACGAACAAAAAUACAGAGGAUAGAUAAAAAUAAGAAUAAAAUGUAAAAAAUUAAAUUUUAAUUUAUUUGUUUUAAGUCAACCAACAAUAUAAAUUUAUAACUAAAUAUAUACUACAUAAUUUUGCAAUGGUAAACCACGUAUUUUAAUUUUAAAAUUAAAGUAUCAUUAACCAACUUAAAUCAAACAAAUUGGGAGAUUAAAUAGUAAAAUUAAAAUUUCGAAAAGAUUGGAUAGUCGAUUCAAAAUAGUUUGUAAUUUAGAUAAAUUUUGAACAUUUUUAUUUGAAAAAAAAACAUAAUUUUUUUUAUUUUUGUAAGAUUUGUUAAGUCGAUAACUAUAGUAAUUAAUUUUUAACUUUUAUACUUCUAUUAAAAAAUAUAAAAAUGUAUAUUUCUUAUAAUUUUGACCGAGUCUCUGUUUUGGCUAAUUGGAUAUAUGUACGAUCAUCCUCGAAUAAUUGUUGUUAGUAAGAAAAGAAAUUCUAAAUAUUAAUUUUUUUUUUGGAAAAAAUACUUUCUUUUUUUUUUUUUUGUUGAUUUGGGCACCUUCAACUAAUAUACUGUUCAAUUGGAAUUAUCUGGUCAUAGUAGGCCCCUAAUGAUUUUGAUUGAGCAUUUCUAAAUCAAUUAAAUUAGUAGUUAAGACACUCUAAUCAUUUUUAAAAAAUAUAUUAGUGACCUAUUUUCCAAUGUCCAAUAGUUGAAUAAUGUACUAAAAUUUCAUCUAAUUAAUUUAAUAGAAAUGCAUUUGCUCUAUUAAACUCAAUUUAAUGUUAAUUUUGUACUUGAUUUGCAAUAAUUAGAAUUAGACUUUUGGCAAAGGAUCCGAAGCACAUGCAAUUAUUAUUUAUAAUUAAAGUUAUUAGUAUUAAAAAACAAUCAACUACCAUUGAUCGUACCAUUGGGUGGAAUUAUGCUUAAGAGCUUGCUUCAUUAAUGUGGAUAAUUAUGGUUUUAGAAAAAGGGUGGGGACAAAAAUUUAAAAACUAGUAAAUUGUGGCAACUUUUUUUUUUAUGUACUUUUGUAACAUCAUUAUUUAGGUUAUCACUUCUCUUAACUUAAUAAUAAAAGUACUUUACCAUUUUGCUCACUUUCUUUUUUGGGUGAACUGCAUACAGCGCUCCAUUAAGAAGUGGUCAGAAAAAUCCUCCACACGAGGUCACAAGAUAUCUGCUGCACUUAUUAUCUCUAAAAUCAAAGAAAAAAGAAAAAAAAAAAAGGGGGAAGAAAAGGUACUAUUGUUCUAGACUUUAAUUCAAAUACUAGUAUUUCAAGUUUUCAAUGUCACUCCAUCUUAGUAUAAGUCAUAAAAAAUACAAAAUACAAAAUACAAAAUACAAAAAAAAAACUGGGCCUAAAUGUAGAUCCAAAUGGGUUGAGAGCCCAGCUAAUUUGUAGGCCCAUUUUUGUACAUAAAUGCUGGGCAAGAAUGUGGAGAGAGGAUGUUACAAUUGAAGAAAUUUAAUGAGAAAAAAAAACCUGUUUCCAAAAUCUUAAAAAAGUAAUUUAUCACAAGAAACAAAGGCAAAAUGGCCGUUUGGUUACGUGUAGUUGUAGCUGCAUUGCAGUUGUAACUGCAUAUAAAUGCAAAUUUCGUGUUUGGUUUGAUGUAUUUAACUCAAACUGCUGCAGUAAAAACUGCAGGAGGAGGCCCAACUGCAGUAGUUCGAACUACGCCCAAAUUGGCGUGAUUCCAAUUACAGUAGUUGGAGAGAGUAACUUUAAAUAAAAUGUAUGCUUACCUCCUCAAUAUUUUUAAAACAAAAAUUAUUUUUUUUUUUUACAUUGGAGGUAAUCUCACCUUCAUAUAUAUAAAAUAAUAAAAUUUUAAAAAUUAUUUCUCAACUGUAUGCAAUCAAAUAAAUUAUUUAUACGUGCAGCGCUUUCUACUGCAUCCAACCAAACAAGAUUCAUGUAGUUAUAACUGCUGUAUUUCCAACUGCAUGCAUCUCUAACUACACUGUAUUUAUAAUUACAUCUAACCAAACGGUCCCAAGUAUUUUUAUUAGGAGUUAAUAUGAAUAAUGGAAGCACUUAUUAUCUAACUUCUCUAAUGCAUUGGUGAUAUAGCUUGCAAGGUAAAAGAAAAGCAGGUAUAAACACUAAUAAGGCACUACAAAUAUCAAAGCCACAUAUCUCUCUCUCUCUCUCUCUCUCUCUCUCUCUCUCAAAUGCUCUGUACUAAUCAUGAUUAUGUACCAGGAAAAAAAAAAGGCUUGUUCUUUGCUUUAUUCUGAGAUAUAGUAUUAUUUUACGAAUUACUGCUUGAGUAGUGAUAUCUGAAGAACUACUAAAAUUAAGUAUAUAUAUACUACAAUAAUAAUUUUGAAUGCAAAAUAAUCUACAAAAUGAUGCUAUUGCUACAAGUAAAGUAAAAGUAAAACCAAUCAAAUUCUAAAAAUCUUCUAUAUAAGUGUUAUUGUAAUAGAUUUGAAAAGAAAAAGUGAAUAACUUUUUUUCAUUGAAAUUUUUCCGCGAAGUUUUUUUAUUGUAAUGUGUGUUACUCUUUCUGUUACUCUUCUUAUAAAGUAACCUUGGGGGUCAACUACUAUUUACAUCAUACAAAAACAUAANAUAUAUAUAUAUAUAUAUAUAUAUAUAUAUAUAUAUAUAUAUAUAUAUAUAUAUAUUAUUUUUCAUAUGAAUUAAUAUUGAAAAUAGUGUUGUGGGAUUAUCCAUCUUCGAGAAUAAUCCUGGGGUUCCGCAUUAAAAUGCGUGCAUAUUACGCCCCACCCUCUUACCUCUUCAAAAGCAAAACCAAAUCAAAGAGCGAGGCACAAAUCCGCGGUAGCAACAAUGGCGUUCAACAACGCUCUCCGAUCGCGCAUCAACCUCUUCGUCUCCUCCGAAUCCCCCCUCUCCAAAUCAGGUAACAAACAAUCCCCUUUUCCCCGAUUCAACUCGGUAAUCGACCCAAUAAUUCGUAUGUGGCGUGUGAUUAGGGUUUAAUCGGGCUUUUAUGUUGUGAUUUUGCUCCAUGACGCAGGGAUUUGUUUUGUUACUGUAGUCGGCUUUUGAUGUAGCUCUUUGAUGCAUCGGAAUGGUUGAUUUUGGGUGAUUUUUGUUGUAUUUUCGUUUUUCCUCCCGAUUCUACUCGAUAAUCGACUUAAUAAUUCGUUUGUGGGGUGUAAUUGGGGUUUAAUCAGGUUUCUAGGUUGUGAUUUUUUAUCUAUGUCGCAGGGAUUUGCUUUAUACAGUAUUUAGGGUUAGCUUUAGUUCUAUAAUGCGUCUGUAUGGUUGAUUUUAGUUGUAUUUUCCUUUUUCUUCGCAAUUAUACUCCAUAAUCGAUUGAGCAAUUUGUUCGUGGUACGUAAUUAGGGUUUAAUAAGGUUUUAUGUUGUGAUUCAUCUCCAUUUUACAAGUAUUUGUUUUCUAUAGAAGUAUAGAAUUGGGGUUUAGUAUGAUUUUAGGUAAUUGUAGAUGUUUGCUUCAUCGCUACGUCGAGCUAUAUGUUAGAGUACAGGUUAAAACAAUACUGAGUCCUCUCAAGGUGUACGUAUAGCUUAGAUUUGGUAUAAUUGCGGCAUAAGAAGAUGAGGCAAUUAUGUACUUAGAUGGACUAGUUGAGUAGCUAAUUUGUUUGUUGAAGUGUAAUUAAGUUUUUUACUUUCCUAUCUUGUUGUUUUAUGGAAGUUUAAUCAUGUUCUAUGUUGUGAUUUAUCUCCUCCUCGGCUUUUUGCUAGGCUUAAUGCAUAGCUAAUAUAGCUGAUUUGGUUGACAUUUUGAUCCAUAUGAUAGUGCAUCGACGAGCCUUCUAUGCUGUAUAGCUUUAGAUUUAACCAGCUUAGCGCCGCGAUGUAACUUUUCAGGAACUUUAGACAGGUUUUUAUGUUUCACACCACAUAAAUUUGUUUUUGAUUCCCUUACCGCAUCGAUAUUGUCAAUUUGGUUGAUACUUGAAGUCUUGAACCCAUGUUAUAGUGCAUCGAUGUGCCUACGAUACAAAUAGAUUGACCUAACUGAAUUGGCACGCAAUUAUGUGGCCUACAGUAGUGUCCUAAGAUCAGUGAGAUGCUCAAUCAUAAACGUGGUUUUAAAUUAUUCUAAAUCAACCAUUCCAUUUGAUAUUUUCUGUACAUUUUCUGGGUUUUAAGUAAGACAUAGCAAGUGAUAGCAAAAAUGUUAAAAGAGUCGGGAAAUGUUCUCUUUGGAUUGGGAAUAUGUUGAACGAACUGGGGCUAGAUCUUCAUUUCUCAGUUAACAGAGGUCCUGGACAUGUUUGAUGAGCUUCAGAACCAUUUUAGCUCGUUUUUUAUUAGAUUCAAAUUUGUCGUAAAUGAUCACUGAAACUGCGGAGGGUUUGGUCAAGGAAUUGUUUUUUUCAUUUUUUUUGAGAAAGAUAAGCACCCUACGUCUUGUUUCCACCUACUAGUUUGAGCUCAUAAUCGUAGCCAUGUUGUUUUCUCUCGGAAUUUUUAUCGAUUAACCUGACCUGAGUCAGUGGAUUCGCCGCAUUUACUUUAUAUAUAUUUCUUGCAAUCUAUAUCACUUGUUUCAUGCAUCAGUUUCUCGAGGAAUACAUGGCACCGGCGCGAAGAGAAUGGGCGCGCAUGCACACGACGAGCCGUACUACCUCCACGCGAAGCACAUGUACAACCUGGACCGGAUGAAGCACCAGAAGCUGAAGAUGACUCUCUCGGUGCUCACGGCCUUCAGCAUCGGCGUCGCCGUUCCCGUCUUCGCCGUCAUCUUCCAACAGAAGAAGACCGGCUCUGUGUGAUUGUCUCUGAAUGUCGGAAACAACAAAGAAUUUCGAUGUUCCUUGCACGGCGAUGUCGAAGCCAUUCGAUUUUAUUUGCUCUUUUUACCUUUUCUUGCAAUCUUAAAUUUGAUGAACGGAUGCUUUACCACGUAAUCUGUAGGUUGUGGCCAAGAUAGUGUAUUAGUGCGUGCUUGUAUUGUACCUUGGUUACACUUCGCGGUUAUCUCGUGUUUUUAUUUCUAGAUCUUAUUUCUAGAUCACCAGGUGUUUAAAGUUUUUGUUUUUUUUUUUUUAAGAUCUAGUACUUCUCAUUUUGAGUUUAUUUGAGUAAUGGAGAAGUGCGUAACUGUGCAUAACUAUAGUCUAUAAUAAUGUUCGGCAGGGUUUGUAAAGUUUUAUUGAAUUAAAAACGGUUUAAAUUGACAAUAUGAAAACAAAAUAGUCAAAUUUAUGUAUUUGUGAGAAUUUUAUUUAUAAAACACUAUUUUGGCAUAAAUUCUAAAACUGUUAUGGCCCAAAAAUAAAAAGAAAAAAGGGGAAAAUCCUUAGACCAGAUCGAAAAUUCCUAUUCGCACGACGUAUUUGACAAUUUGCCCAUGAGCGAUUCACGUAAAUAACCCCGUGCGGAGUGCGAAGUGCGAAGUAGUAGUAAAACGGAACGAGGAGGAGGCGCACAUGGCGACGCUUCGCCGUGCGGAUCCCCUAGCCGCGGCGAUCCCGCUUCUCCUACUGUGGAUCUGGGCUAGGGUUUCCUCCGCCGCGCUCCUCGGCGGCGGCGCCGCCUCCGCCGCCGCCGGCGGGUUCCCGGUCGACGGCUCCGUGAUCGAGCUCGAUGAGUCCACCUUCGACGCCGCCGUCGCCGCCUUCGACUUCAUCCUCGUCGACUUCUACGCCCCCUGGUGCGGCCACUGCAAACGCCUCUCCCCCGAGGUCCCAAUCCCCACCUCUCUCUCUCUCUCUCUCUCUCUCUCUCUCUCUCUCUCUCUCUCGGUGAUGCAGGAUCUGGAUUGAUCUGAGGUUUGUGUUCCUUUUCAUGCGAGAGAUCGAAAAACUAUGAUAUCUUGCUUAGUUUGUGCGGUAAAUUAUGGUUAUGGGUCGGGCCUUUUGUAAAUUGAAACUGAUUUAGUGCUCUGAUCGAUUCCCUUCCGUUAGUUUUGUUAAUUACCAGAGAUAAUGCUGCUAAUAGGAAAUUGUAUGGGAAUCUUGGAUUUCCUGGUGAUCCUUUUGGUGCGAUUGUUCUAAAAAUGAAGAGAAAUUAAGUGUUUAAUUGUGGAGUGUUCGGUGCUAAUUUUAGGACAAUUGGUAAUAGGUUGAUCCAAGUACUAAAAACCGGGAAAUGUGUAGAGAGCUGAAAAUGCGAGCGAAGUCAAAGUUCUACUAUGGUUGCGCUUUUGUUGACAUAAUUGCGACUAAACCAUACAUCAAUUUUAGUGAAAAUAGAAAACAUAGUUACACCAUUGACCACAACAGCACCAAGGAGAUCGUCUGCCUAGCCGUGGGCUACAUUUUGGAGGUUAAGCUAUUUUUCAUGGAAUUGGGCCCAUGACUAAGCGGUGGACCUCCUCGACGUCAUGUUGAUCGAAGCCAGAACUAAUGUUUCUACUCUUACCAGACUUGAUUUAUGGUAGUAAUUGCUAUCACAUCAAUCCAAACACCCCCAAACCGUAAAUAAAGAAGGGCUUGUUUGGAUGUGAGAACAAGUUAUACGGUUAUCAGUUUGAUGGACGGGGGGUUUCGUUUGGUGAUUACGACGUAAGAAUCCAUAGUGCAGUACCAAUGACAUGAUUUUUCAAGAAAGUCUAUUCCACCUCCAGGAUAAUUUGUCUAUCAUUAAAAAUCCAGAUUAUUUUUUUCUUACCUUCUCAACAACCAACUAACUAAUAAAAUGAUCCUUUUCUAAACAAGAGGUGAUAUAGACUUCCAUAUUUGAGAUGAUAACUUUCAGGCUGUGCUAUUAGCCGAACUUUCAGUUCAAAGGGAGAGGUGAUAAUUUUUUGAUUUAUGGUGUUUCUGCAGUUAGAUGCAGCUGCUCCGGUGUUAGCUGGGCUGAAUGAACCUAUUGUGAUUGCUAAAAUAGACGCUGACAAGUACAGAAGACUAGCUUCCAAAUAUGAAAUUGAGUAUGUUGUUCUCUCCUUAAAUUUUUCAGUUGAAUCUCGAUGAGACAAGAAGUUUUGUUAUCUGUUUAAUUUAGAUCUGUAUAUGCACUUUAAAAAAGUUUAAUUGUACAGCAAACUUAUUUAUUUCCUUUAAUUUCUAUUUCUUAAUGCAGUGGAUUUCCUACACUGAAGCUCUUUAUGCACGGUAUCCCUGUUGAAUAUACAGGACCCCGAAAGGCUGAGUUGCUUAUUCGUUUUCUUAAGAAGUUUGUUGCACCCAAUGUUUCUCUCCUCGAGUCAGAUUCUGCAGUCCGUAGCUUCAUUGAGACAGUUGGCAUGAAUUUUCCUAUAUUCAUAGGCUUUGGGUUGAAUGAAUCUGUAAUUACUGAUUAUGGAAGUAAGUACAAGAAAAAAGCAUGGUUUUCAGUUGCAAAAGAUUUCUCUGAGGAUAUGAUGGUUUUCUACGAUUUCGAUAAGGUCCCGGCAUUGGUAUCCCUUCAGCCGAAAUACAAUGAGCAAAAUGUCUUCUAUGGCCCUUUUGAAGGUAAAUUGGCUAACCCAUAUCCUAAUUUAUUUUUUGGUCUUGAAAUGAGCUCGGGGGCGUGAGAGUUGGUCAGAAGUGAACCAUGCACAUCAGCACAUAUGUGAUGUGGUUUUUGAAAUGGCUCCUCCGUGAGAAAGCAGAAGCUUCAAGAAAUCAAGAGUUUGGCUAACAAAUUGUUCGGAGCUUUUAUUGUGAUGCGAAGCUAAAACGAUCUUUUGUACUCCAAAAGAAAAACCUCUAUUUGAAACUUCUGCUUCCGCUGUAGCAAAAAGCUGUAGAAGAUACUAAUAAAAAAAAAUUGUUGGUUGUUCGAACAGCUUGUCUUAACAUCACUUCUACAGAAGCUCCAUUCAAGCUGAACAGAGCCAUUAUAAGACUCCUCCAUUUACAUUACUGAAUUUAUUUGGCACAAAAUACAAGUAUCUCAAUUUUUUCAUUUCUGAUUCUCAUGCAUAUGCUUUUGUCCAUAGUAGCGUAAUUAGAUUGUCAUGUUGAGCUUGUAGGGAAUUUCUUGGAAGAUUUUAUAAAGCAAGCCCUGCUUCCUCUCACUGUUCCCGUUAACUCGGAAACACUGAAGUUGUUGACUGAUGAAGAGAGGAAAAUCGUUCUGACGAUUGUGCAGGAUGAGUUCGAUGAAAAAUCAGUGAAUUUAGUUAAAGUUUUGAAGUCUGCUGCUACUGCAAAUCGUGACCUAAUAUUCGGCUAUGUUGGAUUCAAGCAGUGGGAAGAGUUUGUUGAUUCAUUUGGCAUCUCCAAGAGCUCGCAACUUCCAAAAUUGCUUGUUUGGGACGGGAAUGAGGAAUAUCAACUAGUAAGUUGAGAUUAUUCUCUCAAGAAUGUUACUCGUAUAAAUUUUUUUUUAAAACAUGGUUUUCCAUUUUUCACUAAUAUUGCCAAUUCUUUUCAGUUAAAUUCCUAGAGGUCUUAUUGUUCACUAGUCACUGAAUGUUGCUGUCUUUCUCAUAUGAAUAUGUCUGCAACUGCUCUUAAGGAAGAAUCUCAAUAAUUUAAGAUAGUGAUUUGUUCAUAUUUUUCUCUGCAAGUUAGACCUGACUGGAGAUCAUAAAACAUUUAGUCACAUAGAUCUUGAAAAUGGUGCUAUGUCAACUUUGAUGUCAUAUAGUAGAAAGAAGGAAAUAGAAAUGGUUUUGUUAUAACAGGAAUAAGAACCUACAAGUGAAUGUUGCGUAGGUAAACAGGAUAAGAAAUGGACUAAUAGUAACAAAAUUUGUAUUAGAGGGAGAAGUGCUUCUAUAUCAUUAGUGUUUACGUACCUCGCGUAGAUUACUUGUUCACAUCAAAUGAGAAUUUUCGGUAGUUUAUCUUCUUCGCGAAUCAUUUCAAUGCUUACCAACGGUCCAAUAAGUUAUAGACAUCUUACCGAACUGCUUCUUGGUGAAAAGGUUGUUGGUUCGGAAAGGCUAGAGGAGGAGGAUCAAGGCUCCCAGAUAAGCCGUUUUCUCGAAGGAUACCGAGAAGGAAGAACUAUAACGAAGAAGAUCAGCGGCCCUUCGCUGCUCGGUUUCAUUCACUCCUUAAUCAACAUCAACACGGUUUACAUUAUCGUCUUCGCGGUCGCUCUUUUCAUGCUUAUCCAACAUUUGACUAGCAAAAGCGCAGAUGAUUCUCCGCAAACAGGAAGAGCUCGCGUCGAACCCGAAAGCUCAUAUAAACCCAUACCCGAGAGAGCGAGCCAGGGUGAAGGUUAUUCACCAGGUGAUAAAGAAGACUGAGUGCGAGAUCUUAUUAUCUAUCUAUCUUGGCGACAUUUCUUCGCAUUUUGCAGAGACUGACACUUUUGUAGAACAAUCUCUUUGUGUAGAUCACAUGUAUCACAUUAUUUAUUCAACAGUUUAUUAGCUAAUUAGCCCAUGUUACAAGCUUGAAACUAUGGUUGUCUUGGAAUUUCCAUGUCAGAAUUUUGUUCUGUGUAUUACAUAGUUCUCUUUGCUGUUUGUGUGGAUUCUGAAAUGGUGGGAAAUUGAAGGACAAAAAAAGAGCUUUUGCUGAAGUGCUUUUUGAGACUUUUUAUUUGUCCAGAGUCUAGAUGUUGUUUUUUUAAAACAAAAUGCAUGUGCAAGAAAACAUCUUGUUAUUAUGUAAUUAAAUAAUGAAAUAGAAUAGAUGUGACUAUUUAGAAAUUUAAAAAAUAUUAAAAGGAAAAUAAAGGGUACCAAAUCAAGGAACAAUACAAGAUUUUAUUCUCUUUUUUUUUUAAAAAAAAAUUGCUAAGCUUUCUUAUUAUUAUUAUUACUAUUCAAGAAGCUUCUAUAUCCUUAAAAGGCCCUAGGCCGAAUAAUGAUUACAUCAUCAUAGCCUUUUUAAUAUUACAUCAUUUUUUGUUGACACGUGUUCUCAUUCUCAACCGUCCGAUCAUAAAGCCCACUCCGGCCCAGCGACGCCAUUGACAAUCCGAUCAAGUUGACCAAACCAACCUUUACAGCUCCCCCCAAACGAACGGUCCAGAUCUCCCCACGUCACACCAUGGGAUAUCCAUCAACCACCACCGUCCACCGCUGAAUCUACGUACUCUCGCACCGAAAAGCCCCUCAUCGGACGGUCCAGAUCUCCCCUACGGUGAAAAUGUACAAAAACCCCCUCAACUAAACUACUAUUUUGACAUUGGCCCCUCUACUGUUUUUAAUUUGUUAAUUUCUAAUGAUUCUAGCUUUAUUGGCUGAAAAAGGUUUAUAUUUAUUAUCUUCAGUAAGAUACAUAAAUUUUAUAACAUUUUUAAUUUAAUUAACUGAGACUUCAUUUGGGAUUGUUUGCUUUACGUAGGAUGAGAAAGUACGAUGAAAAAAUAUUCUAUUUAUUUUUUUACGUAAUAUUGUGUUUCACAUAUCGCGAUUAGUCGGUUACGAUAUAUUUUUCACUGUCGCACCAAAAAAUACAUAAGCAUAUUCCAAUAUUCUUUUAUCCCAAUUCUAUUUUAUCUAAUAACCUUAGAUAGAUCUUAAUACCAAAUUAAGCGUAAGGCUUCGGAUGGAAUUGCGAAAAAACGUUAGGUGCAGUGAGAAAGUACGAUAAAAAAUUACUGUGUUUGUUUUUGUACGUAUUAUUAAGUUCCAUAUAUCGCGAUAAAUUGGUUACGAUAUAUUUUUUGCGAUCCCACUAAAAACGCAAAAGUAUAUCACUAUAUAUUUUUAUUCAACUUUAUUUUAUCUAAUACGGUCAGAUAAGCUUCAUACAAUACCAAACUAAACCUAAAUCUCAAUUCUUAAAAUUCAAAACUGGAGGGAUGUAAUAACAAAACAAAGUUAAGGGGUCUUCAUACAAUUUUCUUUUUGAGUUUUUAUUUUUUUGGGGUCACAUCUCUCCCCCUCUUCUCCCAAUUCUUCUUCUCCUUCCUUCUCUCUCUCUCUCUCUCUCUCUCUCUCGCGUCGAAGCCGUUAACGAUCUCACGAGCGACGAAGAGAGGAGUCCGAAGAAACCCUAACCCUAACCCUCUCCUCUCAACCAUCUCCAUCGCUAAAACCCUAACGCUCCUUCUCCCCAAUCCUUAUCUUCUCCUAACAGAGUGCGAACGAGACGGGGGAGAGGGAGAGGAUGAUCGUGUUGCGGCCAUUAUCGCAAUCUCGGAAACUGUAGCUUCGCCGACCAUGGCCGCGUCGUCCUCCGCCGCGAACUCCCAAUCGCCGGCGCUCAAGACCUACUUCAAGACCCCCGAGGGCCGAUACAAGCUCCUGUACGAGAAGUCGCACCCCGCGGCCGUGCCCCACCACUCCCAUGGCCGAACCGUCUCGCAGGUACCGCUCAAGGGUUAGGGUUAGGGCUUUUGGGGUCCCAAUUUUAGGGCUGUUGUUGAUCUUACGUGUUCUUUGGUAGUUGACUGUUGCAUACUUGAAGGAGAAGCCUCCGAAUCAGAAUUCGGCAGCGCCGUCGACCUCGAGCUCGAGCGGUGGGGUGAGGUCGGCGGCGGCGAGGCUCCUCGGAGCCGGAAACGGUAGUCGCGCUCUUAGCUUCGUUGGGGGGAAUGGUGCGAGUCGCGGCGUAUCGGGGAGUAGUAGGAUCGGAGGGCCGGCCGGAGCUUCGGCUGGAUCGAGCUGUUCUCAGAUCACCGCGAAUUAUGAUGGCAAGGGGACUUAUCUUAUCUUCAAUGCGGCGGAUACUCUCUUCAUCAGUGACCUCAAUUCACAUGACAAAGUUUCUGCUUUUACUCGUCUACUUGCUUCCUUAUGCUGUUGCAUGAUCACUGAUAGUGGGUUUUAUCGCAGGAUCCGAUCAAGUCCAUCCAUUUUAGCAACUCGAACCCGGUGUGCCACGCCUUUGAUCCCGAGGCAAAGGAUGGGCAUGAUUUGCUCAUUGGGCUUCACUCCGGCGAUGGUGGGGAAAGUUGCUUACUAACUUGGUUUACUAUGUUAUUAACUAUCAUAUUAUCUUAUUGUGAGUUUUGUACUUCUUUUUUGUGCUGUUAUAGUAUAUUUGGUGUCACUCAGACAGCAAUUGCAAGAUCCUGGGAGGAAGCUUGUGGCAUCUCAGCAUUUUAACAAAGAAGGCGUGAUUAAUAAUAGGCAUGUACUGUCCACUGUUACUCUAUAGUUUGAAUCGUUAGAGAUUAUAUAUGAUCUUGAAGUUAUCGUGAUAGAACUUGACUAUAUAAAUGAAUAAAAAGGUCUCUUUUUGAAGGUCAAUUAAGCGUUUUUAGAGUUAUCCACUCUAACAAAAUUCACCAGUGAUAGAUUUCGUAUUUGUCGUUUUCUUUUAUAUAUCUUGCGGUACAUAUCUGCAAAGUUUUUAGCUUUUUGUGCUUUUGUGAUCUUAUCAUUUUCUGUUACCAUGAUGACCAUCAGUAAUAUAUGGGUGUUGCAAUGUUUGUUAUAACUAUAACUUUUCUUACUAAAAAAUGCUUACCAUAUUAUUUGCAUGCGAUCAAAAGGAGGCUUACAAAGGCCCCUUUAGGAGGGUCCUGUCUGUUAGUAUAGUAAGAAGGACACUCUCAUGAUGUCUACAUGUCGACUACCCCAAACCAAAACCCCGUAUGUGAGGCAAUGCAUUGAGGUUUCUUACCAUUCACACGACGGUGGUUUGUCACUUCUAGCACACCCAUCAAUGAUAAUACAAUAACAUAGUUUAGAAGCACUCAGUGGCAUGCACCGACAUUUAUGGCUUUAUAUAUAGUGCUGCAGCCCCAUGACCCUCCUGCUUAGGCGGUGCAAUGACUAUGGAUUGGGAUGCACAAAAGCUUUAUAUAGAUCGUACUAACAUUAUGGUAAUUAAUCAUUAUGGUAAUUAAUCAUUAUGGCAAUUAGUCAUUAUUAGCAACCUAUCUAAAAAAUCCGGCUUGAUAUUUAUUAUGUUACCCUGCUCUUAGUCCUACAAUAAACUCAUGUAGAAUAGAGGAUGUGGUCUGCUAUGAAAUUUUAGUUGGAUGGUAUAAAUUCGUACUUCAUUGUUUACUUCUAUUUUAUUGAAGUUACGAAAGCCUAUGUUGAGAGAGGAAGAUAGUGGUUAAGGUUAAGUGAUGAUAUAGUCUUUGUGUAGAAUAAAGAAACUAGAGAUGAUAAAACAAGAAGUUUAUGUCCUCAAGGUGGAAAAAAUUUUUUGGGGCAAUUUUAUUGUUUACUUCCAAACUUAAUCGUACGCCAUGACUAGUCUUAUCCUCCUAUUUGAUGCUUACAGGAAAGCAUAAUAUGGAUUGGUGACUCCUAUUUAUAUUAGGACAAGAGAGAACGAAGAAAAAGAAGAGAUAGAAUACUAUACACAUUUAAUUCAAAUAAAUCUAUCUUAGUUAAAAUGCACUUUAUGUUAUUUGAGUAUGUCUCUAUAAUCUUAUUUACUUUACUUUAAUUUCUGUUGAGUGUUAAUAUAGGAUCAAAUUAUAAUAUACUUUUACCUUGUCUAAUUUAAAUAAGAUACUAUGAUAUUUCUAUCUUAUAAAUAUAAAGUUGGACUGUAAGUUUUUUUAAAGGAGUUUUCUAUAAGUAUGAUGAUGUGGCUUCAUGAAAUUGCUCAAAUUUCUCCAGUUUUAUAUUAUAUUAUAUUGUUUGAUAGUAAUAAGCGUUCUACUGAUUAGAUACUCAUCAUAAUGUUUAUUUAAAAUUGCAAUGUAAAUGCAAAUUCAUUCCCACAAGAGAAGUCUAGUUAUUUUCACUUUGAUGACCCCAUUGGUUCUAUGGAGGCAGUUCUUGAUUUGUGCACCAUCAAUGAGGGUGAUGGGUGGUCGAUGGUUCAGUUCCUCUAUGAACUUUAAUUCUGCUGAUGAUUGGCUCAGUAUAAUUAUGUCUGCAUUACUUAUUGCAACUGUGCAAAAUAUCAUUUAUUAACUAUCACUGUUUCUACAGUCGAUGUACGUGUCUUGCAUGGGUACCAGAACGUGAUGGCACUUUCGUUGCCGGCCAUGCUGAUGGAAACUUGUAUGUCUAUGAAAAAGUAGGGCAUGAUUAUCUUAAUUGUUUCUUGUCAUUAGUAUCAUUGCCCACUGAUUGUUCUUCAAUCUACCCGCUGAUUGUUCUUUAAUCUAUUUAGAGCAAGGAUGGAACUGCUGAUUGUUCAUUUCCUGUCAUCAAGGAUCCAACUCAGUUUACUGUUGCACACGUAAAAUCGAGUAAGGUAAUUUACGAGAUUGCUUAGUUUAUGUUCAUGGCUUGUGUUGAACUUUUUUAAUCUAGAUUCAGCUAUUUUCCUUGCAGAGCAAUCCAAUUGCUAGAUGGCAUAUAUGUCAAGGUUCAAUUAAUAGCAUUUCUUUCUCAACAGUUGGGACAUAUUUGGCCACCGUCGGCAGAGAUGGUACUUGCUUGACCUACCAUCUCAGAUCUGUACAUCAUUAUACAUUAUUUGUAUGUGUAACAUUUUUAUGCUUGGUUAACCAGAAUGGGGUUACUCUUGCAGGUUACUUAAGAGUAUUUGAUUUCUCAAAGGAGCAGUUAAUAUUUGGUGGGAAAAGCUAUUAUGGUGCUUUGCUAUGUUGUGCUUGGAGGUAAUGAGAUAAUGCAUUCAUGUAGGUGUUUUGCAAAUUUAUUUCACAGUGCAUUUUAGCGAUGAUCUUUCUCUUCAUAUCUGUAUGCCUUUCUCUGAUCUUGACUAUUCUCACCUGCUUUAGAUUUAGAAACGUUCCAACUUCCUACAUAACAACAAACAUCAGGUUUUAUUCUAAUGUUUUCUGCAUUUCUUAUAUGGAAUAUUGAAGAAAGCUUAUCAAAUAUGAACGUGGCAUCUGGUUCUUCUUAUUCCAUCGUUCUCUAUAAUUUCUCAUUAUAUUGUUUGUUUCCGUUAUUUGUACAUGCUACACCAUACAAGUAUAUGCAUUUCGAUCUAAGGUCUGCAUUGCUGCAUUUGUUAUAAGUCUUUAAGCUUUGUAAUGUAUGAAAGAAUAAGCCUGAACUGGCUUUGUUUCUCCAUCCCUGCCCAUGUCCUUAUCUGCAAAAAUACCCAUGUCAGCCAUUUUUUCUUGCUUAGGUUUAUUCAUUUUUUUCUACCAUAUUGAUGUACAUUCUUAGUAUGAAGUAUUUUAGGGUUCACAAAUGUGCUACAGUUACCAUAUAAUAUCCUCCGGGAACUGAGUUUCUCAUAUAGAUUGAUUUAUUCCAGAGAAAAUCUAACCAGGUCCUAUUUACUGUUUAUAGUCCGGACGGGAAGUAUUUGUUGACGGGUGGUGAAGAUGAUCUAGUACAGGUAUGGAGUAUGGAAGAAAGGAAGACGGUGGCUUGGGGUGAGGGGCAUAAUUCGUGGGUGAGUUUAAUCAAGUAUAUGUUCUUACGUACUGAAAUAUUAUUAAAAUGUCCUAAUAAGUUGAUUGGCAGGUUAGUGGAGUUGCUUUCGAUUCCUAUUGGUCGGCACCGAAUUCAGAUGAAUCAGGAGAAAGCGUCAUGUAUCGUUUUGGAUCCGUGGGUCAGGUAAUAUAUGAAUAUAGAGACCAUCAUCAUCUAUCCAUAUUAUUAUAGCUCCAGCAGAUUAAUAGGUCCACAAAUCCUACAAUAUUAUCAUCAUGAGGUGGUCCCUUUGGUCAUAACUGUGGAAUUGAGAAGUUUGUGUGCUUUUAACCGUCGUUCAUUUAACUUUUGUUACUGUCUUUAUGUACUUACUGUAGUUUAUUCUGUCUUUGGGGUUCUGUAUAACAUUAGGAGCAAGAGAGAUCUCUUAACUACCUGUAACAAAAGCCAUUCUUGUUUAACAAUUUUAAUAACCAGGACACGCAGCUGCUGCUUUGGGACUUGGUGAUGGACGAAAUCGUCGUGCCCCUCCGCUACCACCCCCCGGGAGGCUCCCCGACUUAUAGCAGCGGAAGCCAUUCUGCUCAUUGGGAAAACAACAACAUCAUCCCCGCGGGCACCCUCCAACCUUCUCCAAGCAUGCGUGACGUCCCGAAACUCUCGCCGGUUGUUGCCCACCGAGUCCACGUGGAGCCCCUCUCCGGCCUUUCGAUCACCAACGAAUCGGUCGUCACGAUCUGCCGCGAGGGGCAUAUCAAGAUCUGGGUGCGGCCCGGGCACGGUGAGAGCAACCGGUCAAAUUCCUCCUCCGACUUAGCGGUGAGCUCUAGUGCCGUUUCUAAAGACAGAGUUGUUACUUCCUCUUUGUCGUCGUCGUCGAUUAAAGGAAGUAGCUCGAGCUCAAAGCAACACUCCACUGUUCUUUUCUCGUGAUUUGAGGUUAAAUUUAUGUGGGUAUUUAAUUCGAGUUUUUCUUUUUUAAAAAAAAUUAGGGGUAGAAAUGAAGUGCUUAGGGUGUGAGAAAAAGAGAGAGAGAGCUCUCAUGGUAUGAGAUUUUCUGGAUAAAAGGAUUGUUAUUAGAUUUAGAUAUUUGCCAUUUGUGUGGCAGCAGAGAAUAAUGGUGGAUGAGAUAUGCUCCUUCCUGUACAGAUAAAUAUUCCAAUCUAAAGGAAACAUGCUUUCAUGUUUUUAUUUUUAUACUAUUAUUCGUCGAAGUUACAGUAUUUUUCAACUAGAUUCUUGUCAUUGUUGGUUAACUUUGUAACUUCCCCAUGUGCACAAAUGUUUUAGAUUACAUGGACUUCAAAUAAUGUGCAAUUUACUGUUUUCUCUGUAUAAUCAAAUUGUUAUGUGAGCACUAAAGAGACCCAUGAGCAAGUGCUUUUAUAUGUGCUAAUAAUAAUGUUCUAUAGUAAAAUUACAACAAAAGAGUUGUGUUUUAGGCUACUCGUAAGAUCACGCAAAAUAGAGAUAGAUUACAAACUCAAUGACACAGAGACCGGCGAGGAGCCAGUAGAAGUAAUCGAGAUGCCCGCAGUUCAGGUUAUUGCAGAACCAGCUCUCUCCGAACCUUGCCGUCGCCUUGUCGAUGACGGAGACCAGGAAUCCGCUGACAAAAUCUCCGACGCCGCCAAAGGUACUCAAAUAGAGCGCGAUCCCGAGGCUUCGCAAUACAUCAUGUACUUGGUCGUAGAAGAACUCUUGUAACCCGACAAUCGUGAACACGUUGGCGAUUUCGUCGUCGACGCCGAUGAAAUCGGCCUCAUCCUUGGUUUCACACAAACAAUUUGAGCCAUCAGCAAACCUGUCAUGAGGAUUUUACAUUAAUAUUAUAGAUAUUCAGGGAAAUCCCAUAGGUUAUUUUUUGUGUGUGUAAUUUAGGUCCUUUGAACUUCAAUGCUAUUGUGUACUUCACUCCAAAUUUUGAGAAGUUCACAUAUAGGCCCCUACUAAAGUCCAUUACUUGUACAAUUUGAUCCUUAUGUUCACUUUUAUUAAACUGGUCCCUUAAAUGAAAAGUAUAUGAGGAUCUGAUUUUAUGAAAUUCCGAGUAUGAAAUGAACAGAGCAACUUCAUGUGAUUUUAACUACUUUGUCAAUAUCAAAACUUGAUAUAAUAAUAUCAGAAAUUUCAUAAAUUUGAAAAAUUUAAAAUUUAAUCAAACUUACUCACAAAAUUGACCAUCUCUACAUUGUUGCACUAUGAGCCCCUCUCUCGCUUCCACUUCGCUACUACUGCACCCAUGACAAGAGGGAGUAAACCUCCACCCCUUGCACCAUGCAAGAAUCCGCCUCGAUAUCCGCGCAAGCGGCACCGGUAGGCCCGCGAGCCGAUCAGGAAGACGGUGAGGGCGGCCGCCAUGAAGGCGCAGGGGAUGCCGAACCCGAGCCCCCAGCCGACGACGUUGCCCUGCACGUAGCUGCAUGCCUAAGGUGGCGGUGGCGGCGGCCCCGUCGCACAUGCCGAAGUACCACCAGUUGAAGAAGGAGCUCUUGGACUUGCACUCCUCCGGGUCUGACUCGUCGAACUGGUCGGCCCCGAACGCAUGCAUGCGCGGCUUGUGCCCGCCCUGCGCCAAUGCUAUCAAAUAGCAGUAGAAGAUCAAGGAUUCGAGUCUCAGUUUAGUUCGCGAGGGGGGGAAGGGACAUUUCGAAAUAUCGGAACUAUAAUUAACUUACAAUAUUUGCAAAUUACAUAUUCAAACUCUUAAAAAAUUAUAGUUCUACUAUCAAAUCUGGUAGCUUAAUAAGAAAAUAUUCUUUAAUCUAGUGAGAUAUAAUCUCUUGAAGGAAUAUUUUGUUAAAAAUGUUACAAUCAAGAAAAUUAAUUUACUAGGUAAGAGAAAAUUACCUAUAGGUACCCCUCACACCAUACCUACUUUCAUGUCAUGUGUGUCCUCAAAUAAAAACACAAAUAAAAGGUUUUUACCCAAUUCAUAACCUUGGGGGAAAGAAAAAAUAAAAUCACAAAUAAAAGGUUUAAGUGAAAUGCUGCACUCCAAAAUUUACCAAUGAAUAAAAUAAAAAUUCACCUAAUAACCAGUUUGGUGAUUUGUUUUUCACUAUUUUAUACAAACUAUUGAGAUUCUCAAUAGCUAUAUAUAUAUAUAUAUAUAUAUAUAUAUAUAGAAUUAUGCUACUAUACUAUCAAUAGUACCAAGCCUUUGGUACUAUUGAGUUUUCGGCCGUUGGAUGAAAGGAUGUGCGGUUAGGAUGAUAGUGGUUCCGGUUAAAUUGAUAGUGGUCCCCUAGAGUUGAGUGGGUGGUUGGUUUAAUAGUAUAAUCUAACGGAUGAAAAUGAUCAAAGGGUAAAUCUAAUGGUAGAAAACUCAAUAGUACCAAAGGCUUGGUACUAUCGAUAGUAUAGUAGCCUUCCGUGCACGGAGCCUUCCGUGCUUCUAACUCAUUUUUGAUAUUGCGACUUUCGAAUCGUCAAUCGGCUCCGUUAAACUUGAUCUAGAGUAUUUGAAGUAGCGGAUUCAUAUGUCACCUAAGGAACUUUGUCUUAUUUUGGCCACGACUUUGGUGCACUAAGUUACUAUUUUUAGCCCGGAUCUAGUCCCAAUGCAAGUUUUGGGCUAUAUAUAUAUAUAUAUAUAGAGUGAGGCUACUAUGCUAUCGGAAGCACGGAGCCUUCCGUGCUUCCAGCUCAUUUUCGAUAUUGCGACUUUCGAAUCGUCGAUCGGCUCCGUUAAACUUGAUCUAGAGUAUUUGAAAUAGCGGAUUCAUAUGUCACCUAAGAAACUUUGUCUUAUUUUGGCCACGACUUUGGUGCACUAAGUUACUAUUUUUAGCCCGGAUCUAGUCCCAAUGCAAGUUUUGGGCUUCGUAUUAGAUUUAGGGCUCGACCCAACAUGUAUGUAUUUCAUAAGAUCAUAAGUUAAAUCAGGCCCUAUCAUUCACACAUAGGCCUAGAUGAUAUCAAAUUCCUUUCAUUUUAUCAGCGAAAGGAAUACAUAACCAAACGCUCGGUGCUAUUGAUAGUAUGAUAGCCGGACUCUCUCUCUCUCUCUCUCUCUCUCUCUCUCUCUCUCUCUCUAUAUAUAUAUAUAAUGAGAUGCAUCUUGCGAGGGAAACCAUGAUCACCAUCAUCUCAGUCGCUUUAACAUUUAAAUUGAUCAGUUUGAUCUUUUCUAGUACAGUUUGCUAAAUGAUUUGAAGUCUCAAGCUCGAAAAUCUAGCUGUUUUACAUUUUUAAUUCAGUUUAUUUUUAAAAAAUAAACGAAGCGGAUAAUGCACUGUCUUUCUCUCUACAAAAAAAAAAAAAAAAAUUCAAUCGAUGGACCAAUCGGUAACAAUGAUCUCCUUUAAUAAUGAGAUUUCUCCUGCAAAAUAAUUUUCUUUUAUGAAAUGAAUAUUUUAUAAAUCUAAAGAGCAUAACAGGGUACACAAGCCUAAUAUAUUUGGCCUGUAAAUCUUGAUAUUCAAUCCUAAAAACAGAAAAUAGAGUUCUCAUUUUAACUUUUAACUAGCCUGUUUGGUUAUAACCCAAGCUACAGAUUACACUUCACUGUAAAGCAGAACAAAAAUUAUGUAGGAUGCAUUCUAUAAAAAUCAUAUAAAACACCGUAAAUCAUAUGCCGUGUUAUGUCUAAUCAGAAGGUCCUAAAUUAUUAUACAAAAUUUAGAUACGUACAAAGCUUCUAAGUGGUGUCCAAAUAGGACACAAUUGCUUCAUAUGUGUGGAAAAAUCAAAAAUAAUUGUGAGAUUUGGAGCCUCUUUCUGAAUAUAUUUAUACUUAUAUAUUCUUUAUAUAACACCCCGAAAAUGAUUCUGAUUGGAUUAUAUGAGUAAAUGCAUGCUAGUAAUAAUAAUUGAACUUAAGUAUUUUGCAUCGAUGGUUUAGAUCCAAUAAGUUAUUAUUGAUAGCAGGUCUGAUCGUUACAAUUAAUAUCAGAUUCAAAUUUUGAUCUCGGGACCUGUGGGUUAUAGGCCGACCACGCUUCCGCUACGCACUCUAAUAAACAUCAAAUACUAAUUGUCAAUAACUCUUUACAAAACUUGCAAUAAUAAUUCGUUAAACGCAAGAAUUUAAGUGCCGUGGCACGGAAUUGUGCCAAAAACUUACCGGCAUGGUACGGCACGAUGCAUGCCGAGCCGUGCCGAUGUGUGCCGGUCAAAAAAAUUCUUACGUGCCGGUCAAAAAAAUUCUUAUGUGCCGACACAUAAUAGUAUGAAAUAUUUAUUUUUUUUAGCAAUAAAAUAUUCUAACUAUUUAUUAUAUCUUUUUAUCACAUUUUUUAAACUUUUUUGGAGAAAUUACUUACUAAUUUAAAGAAUAGAGAGUUUUGAGCUGUGCCAUCGGCACAGGAUCUGUAUCGUGCCGGUAUUUUGUUUGUACGUACGGCACGGUAGAUACGGCCUGUACCGACGGACACUUAAAACCUUGGUUGGACCUAAACCACCAAUCUAAAAUGAUUAAAUUCAGUUAUUAUUACUAGCAUACAAGGUUUUAUAUGUACAAUCAGAAUCAUUUUCGGGGUGUUACACUUUACUACUAUUAAAAAAAUUUAAAUUUACCCUCUAUCCAAAAUAUCUUUCAAAAAUUCAAUUCAAUUAAUAAACCCGUGAGGGACAAGAAUAUUUGAAGAAAAAUUUUAAAACUAAAUAAGAAUAUUUCGAUCAUCCAGAAAUAGGCAAGAUAUUUUUAAAAAAAUUUUAAAGACAUAUUAGAUAUUAUCCCUGCGAACAUAAUGCCUUGUACUCUAGGAUGAUAGAGAUUGAAACUUUUACAAUUCAUUUUCCCAUGAUGAACUUAAUUAAAUUGGACCCAAACAAAUCACAAUGCAAUUGUUGUCCCCCACAAUAUAGUGGUUAUAACCUAGAAACAACUAUACAAAAAUCUCUCACAAUAAUAAAUACAACAUAUUAAUGCCCUCUCCCUUGUGGAAACUUAUCCUUUUUGUGUUGGAUUUGAUUCCCUUUAUCUAUUCUUUUUGGUGAUGAGACGUAUAGCUUACAAUUUUAUUACGAAAAUAUAAUUUUAGUUUGAUCUUUUCAUUGAAUGCGUGCGGCAUAUUCGGUGCAUUUCUUGCAUGAAACUUGCCUCAUUUUGAGGGAAAUUUAGACUGCAUUAACAAUUUGAUUUUAAUAGUGAAAUAAUGAUCUAUUCUGAAAGAGACAUAUGAUAUUUAUUAAAUUUAAUCAAAGUUAAUUAAUGAACGACGACAAAGAUGACGACAAAGAUCAAUAAAUAUAUCUGUGAAUAUCCGAUCGUGUCUGUUGAUUACAUUGCUGUUUCAAAAUUUUAUUAGAUUUGAUUUGUUUCAUAAUAAAAAUACUAUGAAAAUAUAAAAUACUGUCUACAGUAUUGGUGCAUUGAAUCUUAUCGGAAUUUAUAUUUAGAUAAACAUAAAAAAUGCGUAUGCAUUUUUCUCUUUUUUAUUUUAUUAUUUUAAUUUUUUUUUUAUCUUUUUAAUUAAUGUGCUACGGCCCAGUUUGAGCCGCAUCGUCUCCGGAUUGGUUGGAUAAGAAAAAAAAGCCGAUCCGACGUGGCACGGCAAACUGGAGCCAAUGAGAGAGCUCCACGUGUCGGCCAGCUGGCGUCCAACGGGCGAGCUUUAUGAGACCGCCACGUGGGUGGAGCGCACGUGCUUUUCGUGGCCGAUGGGUCCCACCCGAUGGGGAAUCUGCACGGGAUUUGGGUACAACGUGCUUGUCCUUUCCAGAGCUUGCACCUCGAGAUUCGUGCAAUCAAACCAACCAACGUGGCGAGGAAGGUUUUUAUGUGCACUCGGCCCACCACGUCAUCCGCUGAGCUGGUGGUCGCCGACAGAGUUGGUGGACCGGGUCCAGGCAGUAGUUUCGCCUCCUAGCCAAUCGAGUUAGUACAAAAGGCAUGCUUGGACUGAGUUAUAGUUAUGUUUGGAUUGAGCUGUAAUAGUGAUACCAAUAUACAAAAAUAAGAAAAAUAAAUUAUAUGCUAUAAAAAAUUUUUACAGUAAAUUUUUGUAAUAAAUUAUUUUUUCGAAAAAUUUCUAUGAAUGCUCUAAAUUAAUGGAUGUGGUUUGUCAAUGGCUUUGUGAGCAAAAAAAAAAAUUCUAAUGAAUUUGAUAAUUUUGUCGUUCAGUAAUUAUAGUAUAUAUUUUUUUCACUUGUAAAAAUAUAUUAUGUUACUUAAUAGACGACAGAUACGUAAAAAAAAUUUCUACACGAGAGUAUAUCUAAUGUGCUGCUUAAUUUUUAUAGAGUUAUAUAUAUAUAAUAAGUAAAUAUUGUAAAUUUUUUAUUUGACACCACAAUUGAGUUUUAUAUUAAAAAAAAAUUAAUUACUAAUAAAAUUUCCUAAAAAUUGUAGUUAUUUAUAACUAAAAGGGGGAAUUAAUAUGCUCUGGUCCACGGGUGCACGGUUACGAGAGAGAAGCUCGAUACGCGUUGAACACGUGGCGUUACCGGCUAUAGCCGGUCAAAGGUCGACCGCGAGAUCGACGGACGAGAUGGAGUGGAGCGAAGCGAAGCGAAGACCAUUCACUCCCUCCUCCUCCUCCUCCUCUCCCUAUAAAUAUGCCCCUCCCCCUAUCCACAUCUUUUUUUUUCUCCUCCCCCUCCUCCUCUCCCCGCUCUCCUCUCACCCCCUUGGGAUCUGCGCCCUCGCGAUCUUCGGAGGAGGCGCUCGUACUCGGCCUCGGAUCCCGGAGGUACGUUCUAUUACGAUUUUUUUUUUCGCGAUUUUUUUUUUGGGGGGUACUUUUUGGAGUAUAUGCUUGUCGUUUUCGCUCGAUCCCCAUUCGUUUUUGAGGCGACUCGCCUCGGAAUCGACGCAUCUGCGGCUCCAGAUGCUCUGUUCCGCGUGUCGUCUUGUUCGUGUUGCUGGAUCCGGAGGGAAUCUCCCUUCUGCCGUCUCUUGAUAGCGAAAUGUGGCUCGAUGUUCGUAGAUCGGAGCUUCAAUCCCGCUUUAGAUGCGAUUUUGCUUAAUUUUUUCCGAUUUUUUUGAGUUUGAUUUGAUCCGUUUUAUGCAGAUAUCGAGGCGCUUGCGGAUCUUAAACAGUAGGAUCGACUGAGGAGAUGGAGGGGGGAGGGAUGAGGAAGGUGUCGUCUCACACGUCCAUGGCGGACGCCGCCGCCGCCGCCGACUUCGACCUGUCGCAGCUCCUCGACAAGCCGAGGCUCAAGAUCGAGCGGCAGAGGUCGUUCGACGAUCGGUCGAUGAGCGAGUUCUCGCUCUCCGGGAAUGUCAGGGGAAUCGACGGCUACGAUAGCGUGUUUUCGCCCGGUGGGAUGCGGUCGGUGUUGGACACGCCGCUGUCGUCGGCUCGGAACUCGUUCGAGCCCCAUCCGAUGGUGGCGGAGGCGUGGGAGGCGCUCCGCAGGUCGUUGGUUUACUUCCGGGGACAACCCGUGGGGACGAUCGCAGCUUACGAUCACGCCUCUGAGGAGGUGCUCAAUUAUGAUCAGGUAUAAGUUUGGUUGCGCAAUUUCUCCUGUUCAGGUUAUUAUCAACAGUUUAGCAUCUCAGAUUUAGUAUAGUAGUUUAACAUAAUAUCAUUCAAUUGCUUAACCUUUACUAGAAUCAAUACCUGUUCAGCUUGGCUUCUAUGAUAGCUUCUCUAUUUCAAAAGCAGAAGUUAGAUGUACGUUUUGCUUGUGCUUGAGCGAGAAGCUUCUCAGGAUUUUAGCGAAAAGCAGUUCCGACUUUGUGGCUCUUCUGCUGAAGUGAUCUAGUUGAGCCUAAUAGUCAUUAAUGUUGAGAUGAUUUUAUGAGUGCGGCUUUUAAUGUUGUUCAUCCAAUACGUAUUUGCCAUAAUUAGCACUUCAUUGUGCUUUUAGCUUCGUAUCAGUUAAUAUUUAUUGCUUCUUUUCUAUACUGUUUUUAGUGAUCUUAUAGGUUUUCUGAUUUCCUUUAUAUUCAUCCCAUAUUGAGGUUAAUGCCUCUCUGCAGCUUGUGAGACGCAUCGUUUGAUAGUUUAAACGUGCUUUUCGGUGAACAUUUUCCAAAGAAAAUUUCGUAACAAAUGACCAUAUCUUGAUAAGUAUCGUCCUCUAUGCAGGUGUUUGUGCGGGAUUUUGUACCUAGUGCAUUGGCUUUCCUAAUGAACGGUGAAACCGACAUAGUAAAGAACUUUCUGCUAAGAACUGUCCAGAUCCAAAGCUGGGAGAAAAGAAUAGACCGUUUCAAGCUCGGGGAAGGAGCCAUGCCUGCGAGCUUCAAGGUGCUCCAUGACCCUGCUAGGGGAGUCGAUACCAUAGUUGCCGAUUUUGGCGAGAGUGCAAUUGGAAGGGUCGCACCAGUUGACUCCGGUUUCUGGUGGAUUAUCCUCCUUCGUGCCUAUACAAAAUCUACAGGGGAUUUGUCAUUGGCAGAGAGACCUGAUUGCCAGAAGUGUAUGAAGCUUAUAUUGACAUUAUGUCUGUCGGAGGGCUUUGACACAUUCCCUACCUUGCUCUGUGCUGAUGGUUGCUCAAUGAUAGACCGUAGAAUGGUGAGUACGUUAAACAUUACUCCAGCUUUGCUGUAACUGUUGUUAUGCUUUUUGUAUCUUUCCGUCUGCCGCUAUUCUUUCUAAGCAAGUUUUCAGAUUUGGUUGGUUUAUUUCUUUCGUGGUACUUCAAAUGUAGUAGAGGAGAUCAUUGGAGAUUAAUAAUGCAGUAUAUUUGGCUGACACGUUCUUGGAAAUUUUAUGCUCUUUAAUUCCCCUGUUAUGCUCUUUAAAUUUCCCUGUUUAGUGAUCAAUUUGAUUAAGGUUCUCACAUGUCUAGCACCAUAUAGUUAUUUUAUCUUCUUAUUUUCCAGCCAAUGUGCUGUUUAUUGAUUUCCACUAUCUCCGUAGGUGAAAAUUGUUUCUCUCUUUCUCUCUGUCUAAGAUCUAUACCUUAUCCAAUGAUUUGAAACAAAGAGUUCUGCUAUUGGUGAUUUUCUUAUUGCUCAUUCUGAUGCUCAGUGGUAAUCGACGAGGAAUUUCACUCCCUAUUUCUCUCUCAAAGGAGGAUUUUAGAAGCUUAGUGUUUGAAUUUUUAUGCCUAAUAUUUUUCUGUUAUUAAAUUCAUUUUGCAGGGUAUCUAUGGCUAUCCUAUCGAAAUCCAAGCCCUCUUCUUUAUGGCACUAAGAUGUGCUCUUACAAUGCUUAAGCACGACUCCGAGGGGAAGGACUGCAUAGAGAGAAUAGUGCAACGCUUGCACGCCUUAAGUUAUCAUAUGAGGAGCUACUUUUGGCUCGACUUCCAGCAGCUAAAUGUCAUUUACCGAUACAAAACAGAAGAAUAUUCCCACACAGCUGUCAACAAAUUCAAUGUUAUUCCCGAUUCUAUCCCUGAUUGGGUAUUUGAUUUUAUGCCCUCACGUGGCGGAUACUUCAUUGGGAACGUCAGUCCGGCGAGGAUGGACUUUAGGUGGUUUGCGCUUGGUAAUUUCGUCGCAAUACUGUCAUCUCUGGCAACGCCAGAGCAAUCUAUGGCCAUAAUGGAUCUAAUCGAAGAGCGGUGGGAGGAGCUAGUUGGUGAAAUGCCUUUAAAGAUUUGUCAUCCUGCUAUUGAGAGCCAUGAAUGGCGCAUUGUCACGGGUUGUGAUCCAAAAAACACCAGGUGGAGUUAUCAUAAUGGAGGAUCUUGGCCAGGUGUGUGAGAUUGAGACCACUUUGUGUUCUUGCAGUAUUUUCUCUCUUUCGUGCAUUAUAGAAUCGACAUGAACAAAGCAGAGAACCCCCUAUAAACAUUGCGACUUUCAUUUUGACAACGGAUAUUAUUGAUCCCUGCAUUUUACCGUCUUAACCUAUAACUCAUCACUUCGUAUCCCUCGGCCAGUUCGGUUCACACAGCUAAUUGGUCUAUGUAGUAAGCAUUGCUUAUAGGGGUUAGAUGGCAUUUGAUCUGUAUUCUUUUGGGGUGGCAAGUUCAAUAUUGAGAAGUAUUUGUGAACCAAACUGGCCGUUAUGAAUUGUAUCAUAUAUCCUUCAGAGUCCGUUAUCAUCGGAAGGAAUUAUAACACUCGCGUACAUGUCCUUUACUGUAUUUUGUGUUAGCUCUUUAACGAGUUGAUCAUUGUUUUGUCCAGAAGAAAAAACCAAAAAAAAAAAAGAUCAUCUUACCACUAAUAUCCCUCAAUUUCUUUCUUUUCUCAGUCCUUCUCUGGCUACUCACCGCGGCUUGCAUCAAGACGGGUCGACCCCAAAUCGCAAGGCGAGCGAUUGACCUAGCGGAGAGCCGGCUGUUAAAGGACGGCUGGCCCGAGUACUACGACGGAAAGCUCGGACGGUACAUCGGCAAACAAGCUAGGAAGUUCCAAACAUGGUCUAUCGCGGGCUACUUAGUAGCUAAAAUGAUGUUAGAGGACCCCUCGAAUCUGGGUAUGGUCUCUCUUGAGGAGGAUAAGGCGAUGAAGCCCAUGUUGAGAAGGUCCGCUUCGUGGACUUGCUGAGGAGAGAGGCAUCAGACAAGUUCUUUUGUAGAACUCCUAUCCCACCAUCCUUUCGGAACUAGAAAGGUGCUCAGCUUUGCUCCCGCCCUGUAGGAAUGUGUUGUUUGUACAUUAUUGCAUGUUGUAUCUGUAGGAAAUCGCACGGAAAAAUAAGUUUAAUAUCGAAGAAUAGAGGAUCAGGAUCUAUCCAGGUUCUAAUUGUAACAGGAAACUCUCAUUUACGUAAUUUAUAGCAAUCUUUUAUGUUUGGUUCAAUUCAAAAUCUUUUAUUGCAAUCCUUCCCCUAUAAAAUAAUGUUAGUAUCUCUCAAGUUGAAUGCUAAUCAGGUUUAAGGUCUAAGGGAGAUCCUUUUCUUUGGCAAUAGUUUCUUUUAUAGGAUUAGGAUAUUUAGAUGCGGUAGCACAAAUUUCACCCCAAAAAGAAAAAGAUAAGAAAAAAAAAGAAGACCAAUAAAAGCCGAAUAAUUGAAUCUUCAGAUUUUAAGAUAAGAACAUGAACUAACAAUUCUAAGUGAAAAAAUCAGGGAAUGAAUCGUGUCAUUCAUCAAAAUAUUAGGAUUAUCAGUAUAAUUACUCUCUGUGAUACUUAUGCCUCAAAUUCUUGUUUACAUAAAAUGACUUAACAUCUCAUUUUACGAAUCUUACAGUAGCAAAAGAACCGACCCUAAUAUCAUAUCGAAGCAACAUUGUAUAUACAUGUGGAAGAUGAGGCAACAAAGUGAAUAAUAAUCCAAAUAAACCCGUAAUACAACCUGUGCUUAUUCCAAUGAAUGGAAGGCAUGAUAUCUCAACAAUAACCUCAGGAUGCUGGCGCGUUCCUCCCUCCUUUCUUGCUAACAUACUCGCAUAGCCGGCAUGGCAAUGUGUCUAGGCUCGCUAAGCGGGCCUUGCCGUAGUUUCCCAACACACCGCACCUCCUCCACGCAUGGUACUCCGCGUAGGCCACGGGGUCCUCCGCGAGUGCUUUUACGUAGGAAGCCAAUUCCUCGAGAGAGCUGAAUUUUGAGCCCUCUAUGAUGGAAUUCGGUGGGACGAAGUCCCACACGUUCGACGUGCCAAAGUAGAUGGGGACCGAGCCGGCGUCCAAGGCGUAGAAUAGCUUUUCUGUGACGUAGCUCUCCGUGUUGGUGUUCUCGAUCGCGAGGACGAAUUUGUAGUGCGACAUGGCGCAGUGCAGGUGAUCCCACCAGUGGGGGAUUGGGUUCUCUUCCAUCUUGCAAUCGGGGAAGAAGUCGAGGGCUACGUCGGAGCCUCCGACAUUGUUUAAGCACCGGCCAAAGGAGUGGGUGGGGAUGAGGGAGAUGAGGGCUUUGGCGAGGGCAUCUCGGUGAGGUAAGCACCUCGAAGAAGACCAGUAAACAAGAGUGUCCUGCAAUAGCAUAGGAAUGUUAGUGUUAGUGUACAUUUUGGCAAUAUAUGCGGUGACACUUCUCAAACUUUCGCGCUACGACCCUUAAGUUAACCCUAUGUGUUAACUCAUAAGUUAGAUAGAGGCGGCACUGUCGAGUGUGCUGAACAAAAGCACACAAUUGUUUGCAGAGAACUGUGAUUUCUGAUUUUUCCCUGGACCCGCGACGGUCCUGUGGUCGCGAGUUUGCAUUCGCAGCAAACUCGUAAAAGCACUAGGAGGGGACUCAAUGUUGAGUUUUGACCAUAUCCAUACGGCGGCGGCCGAAAUUUUCAAAUACCAAACACACCCUUCUUGUGAGUUGCUGCUGAUCCUUAGUUAAAAGAUGUUGGUUUCCUAGUAGUUUCUUCUUAUAUGCAUGUAGAAGACAAAAAAAAGCACCAUUUCUCAGUGCAGCAACAAUACAACUUAGGGCUCACUUAAAGCUUGAUGGCAUGGUAAUAUUCUAUGGAGGCUUUCUUUUUCUUCAUUCCUAGCAUAAAUUUGUGUUAUAACCUUGUUUGUUGAGAUACAGCUAUACAAGUGGUGAUAAACAUGUGAUAGGAAAGCAUUAGGAACUAACAUUGUUUUUACUGAAGGAUCAAUUGCAAUUUUUUGUGCCUAACUUAGAUGUGCAUAUUGAACUUGAAACUUUAGUGCAUAUGAACUCUUGGUAGUUUGCUGGAACUUACAUUUUUCUUUUCCUUCGCUACGCGAUAACUCCGCGUAAUGCGGAAUGUUUUUCCGGCGUAAGUUGCCUGAACAUCGUCUUUGGCGUGGUAGCCGAUGAAAAUGUCCUCGAAUCCCGAGGGGCGCCUAGUAGCCUCGAGAUCCAUAAACGCGCGAAGAGGCUCCCCUUGUUUUCUCUAUAAAAAAAAAAAAGAAAGAAAGAAAACAAAAUGUUAUUUGAAUGUGCAUAAUUGUGAAGCACGAAAAAAAAAAAAAGGAAAAGAAAAUGUGGCAUUAAGAUUUCAAACAAAGUGGGGAAAACAUCCUACAAAUGGAUGAUUUGUGACGAUUCAAAGAAACUCUCGAAAUUUUGAAUGAUAAAAUAAAAAAUUCCAAUUUGCUCAAAUAAAGGUUUACUAUGGUGGACAAAACCAAAAUUGAGCUACCAAUGUAAAAUAAGGAUAUGUAUUCUUCUAUAAGGGGGCGGGUAUUAAUUACAAGUUUUACUUUUCAUUUAUUACUUUAUAAUUAUCCCCUUAUUAAGUAAAGAUGACACCCAUGAGGUGUAAGAUUAGAAAAGUGAUCUACUCCUAAUAAAAUCCUAAUAAAAUCUGCUCUGUUAAUGUCCGCGUCUUUUAAAGUCCUAGCACUUUUGGCACAUGUUAUAUGAAUAAAUAGGGAAUGUACUUAGAAUCAAACACUACCAAUUUGUCUUUUUGGCCCCACAUGACUAAAUAGGAUCCCCAAUUGACACAAAUAUUCUAAAGUAAUAAUCUAUUUAUGUUCAACACAUUACCUCAUGAGUCUCUAACUCAAACAACUUCAUAAAGGGCCUAAUAAUGGAACUUAAAUUGCAUGGAUAAAAAAACUCUCAAAUACUCCAGUGAAAAUUAGGUCUAAGAUUAAUUGCCUAGAGUUCAAUUCACUUCUUUUUUUAUUGAUCUCAGAGAUCAACUUAAUUCUUUUUAUCAGAUUUAGAAUUCACAUUUGUUGCUUCUCACCAACUUUUAACUGCCAUCUUAAUAUCCUUCACCAAUGAACAUUACCAUUUUGAGGAGAAAGAAUAUUACCAUUCAAAAAUAAUCCUAUUUCUACAAUGCAGCUGUAGUGCUGCAGCAUUGGUCCCUCCUUUCAAUUUUUGCAAUGAAACCCCUCAUGUUGUUUUCAAAUUUCAAUCAAGUCCCUUUCAUCCAAUAUAACUGGUUAAUUUAGGCGAAAAUUAUUACAUCAGUGCCAAAUCUUAUAACACAGCAAUUUUUCAUCUGUGUUAACUGUUUCUUUUCUUUUUUGAUUAAAAUAACUAGAAGGCAUUAGAAAUUCAACUAGGGAAAUGCCGCGAAUUUUCUACAGUUUCGUGCACAGAAUUUUUCCGUCCAUUCGAUCGUAUGCUCGAUCAAUGCUAGUCGUAAACAUUUUGCGCGCUCUCAAAACUCCUAGUAAAAAUUGCUCAUGUGUUAUCAAACAGAUAUCUCGUGCAGUAUAAGUCGUUUCAUGCGGUACGAAUAACUAAAUGCCAGCACAUGAGAAGCGAUUAAGUAAUCAAAUGAAUAGAUCUCACCGUCUUGGGGGGCUUGAAGGACUCCCAGAGGGUGACGUCGACCUCGUCAACGACCGCCACGUUGCGGCUCCACACGCAGCUCAGGCCGCAGCGGCACUCGUACACGCCGUCCAAGAUGUCCGGCACCCACGUCACCCCCCUGACCCCCACGCUCACGUGGCGCGUCCGCAGCUCCCCGCACCGCGCCCCUCCAUCCGCAUACUCCUGCACCGCCGACGCGUUCCCCCCCCACCGCGCGAACUUCUCCCGGAAUCGCCCGCACCCGACCUCCGCGUCCCACCGCCCGUAUGCGGCCACCACGUCGCCGAAGCGCUCCUUUUGGCGCGAGCCGAGGGAGUCAACGGCCGUGGUGACGACGACGCUGGAGUCAACGGCCGGGGAGUCAACGAGGAGGGAGGGGGAGAGUUUGGGGAAGUCGAGGAGGAGGGCGACGAGGGCGGCGGCGAAGAGCGCGGCGACGACGAGCGGCGCGAUGCAGCUUACGCGGCGAGAGGCGAAAACGGCAGCGGCGGCGGAGUUCGCCGUAAAGAAGGAAGAAAACGGAGGAGGAGGAGGAGGAGGAGGAGUCGGCGACGAAGAAGGCUUCGUCGACGACAUCUUCUUCGAUAUUCGAUCUCGUUUGGUGAUGGGAUGGGAUUCGCGGGGAUAGUAGUAGCUUUUAGUAUGGGUGAUUGCACGAUCGGUUGGUUCUAUGAAGGGAUUUUUAACGGAAAGGGGCGGGGGUGUUUGUAAUUUGUAUGGAUUGUCCUUGUACUCUCCCGAUAUUAAUUGUGACUAGGUCCCUAUACUUUUUUUUUUUGUUGUUUUUUCAAAGAUGUUCAACUUUAGUGUAGUUUCAUCUGGAAUGAGCCGUUUGGUUGCAUGUAGUUGCAACAGUAUGCAAAUACAAAUUUGAUAUUUAAUUUUAUAUAUUUAACUCUAACUACUGCAGUGGGAACUGUAAGAGAAGGUCCAAGUAUAGCAGUUCAAACUACACUCAAAUUGGCCGCAGUUCCAACUGCAGUAGUUGAAGAGAGUAACUUUAAACAACAAAUAUGUUUACCUCCUUAAUUAUUUUUUAAAUAAAAAAUAAUUUUUUUAUAUUUGAGGUAAUUUCACCAUCAUAUAUAUAUGAAAAGAUAAAAUUUUAAAAAUUAUUUCUCAACUGCAUGCAGUCAAAUAAAUUAUUUAUAGUUGCAACAUUUUCUAUUACAUCCAACCAAACAGAAUGCAUGUAAUUACAGCUGCUAUAUUUUUAACUAUAUGCAUCUUCAAUUAUAUUGUAUUUAUAAUUACAUCUAAUCAAAUAACCUCUAAAGUUGUGUUCAAUUUUAGGGAAAAUAAUUGAAAAUGAUCGUACUAAAUAUUUUGAUUUUAGGUAAAGUUGUUGAAAAUAGUUGUAUAGAAUAGUUCGAUUUUAGGUAAAAUAAUUGAAAAUGAUCGUUCUAAAUAUUUUGAUUUUAGGUAAAGUUAUUGAAAAUAGUUGUAUAGAAUAAAUAUUUCUGUGUGUAAGAAAGUAAUUUAUUUUUAUGUUUGGUUUGACAUAAAAUAAAAAUAGUUUGCUUAGGGUGUGUUUGGUACUCUGUAAAACUAGCUGAAAAUUUUUUUUCUAUGUAAAAUUUUACUUUUUGAUGUUUGGUUGCUAGUAAAAAGUUUUUCACGGAAAAAGAUUUUUACGCAUACUAAGAAAAUCCGAAGUUUUCGUUUUCCGCUCGCUGCGAGCGGAAAACGAAAACUACGGCACCAAAAAUCACGGCUCAGGAGGCUUCUUUGUGCACGGUCCACGAGGUGCCCAUCACCUCGUGGACCGCGUGAGAGAGAGAGAGCACAGGUCCAAAAUCGCGGCUCAGAGGCUUCUUUGUGCGCGGUCCAAUAUAUAUAUAUAUAUAUAUAUAUAUAUAUAUAUAUAUAUAUAUAUAUAUAUCCCUAUACUAUAAACAUCAUUUAUAUUUUUCUUUAAUAUAUUAUUGUGUAAUAUUUUAUAUAUAAUAUAUUAUUUAUAAUACAUAAUAACUAUUUCAUACUAUUAAUAUAUAUUAUUAUAUAUUAAUAUUAUAUAUUUAAUUAAUGUAUAAUACAUUUUAAAUAACUUAUAUAUAUAUAUAUUCAUUAUUUAAAUAUAUUAUUGUGUAAUAUUUUAUAUUAUAUAUAUAAUAUAUUAUUUAUAAAUACAUAAUAAUUAUUUUAUAGUAUUUAAAUAUAUACUAUUUAAAUAUUAUACAUACUACUUAAUUAAUGUAUAGUAUAAUAUAUUUUAGAUAUUUUAUAAAUUAUAUACUUAUAAUACUAAUAUAUGUAAUAUGAUAAUUAGAGUCGGCUAAUAUGAUAAAUUUUUUAUUUAUAAUUUUUAUUUCUUCAACGCAAACAACGAAAAAGUAAUUUUAUAUAUUCUUAUUUAUAAAAUUAUAUAUUUUUAUAGUAUAUAAUAUAGAUCUAUUACAUAUAUAGCCUACUAUAAUACACUAUACUACUACUAUCACAUUAAAUACUUAUCAAUUUAUUAUAUUAUAUAAUUUUAAUAUAUUUAAUUUAUAAAUAUAAAUUAUAAUAAUAAUAUAUAUAGCCUAAUAAUUAACAUAAAUUAUAAAUAAAUAAUAUAUAGAAUACAUAAUAAUAAUAAUAAUAAAAUAUAUUUUUUCCUUUCAACCAUUCAACCAAACAACUAUAACUGAAAACUAGUUUUCUUUUCCUACAAACCAAACACCAAACUACGUAAAACUUUUUUUCCACUGAAAAUUUUUUUCCACCGAAAAUUUUUUUUCCCAGUUUUACGUCAAACCAAACAGCCCCUUAGCUGCAGGACGAAAAUUAUAGGGACCAAUUUAGGAUGUUUGGGUGAUACAGGGACUAUGGUGCAAUUUACGCGGCGUUUACCUUUCCCAUAGAUUCCUUAUUAAAGAAAACAAUAGACGUGGCUUCAAUCUAUUAGCUGUAAUAAAUUGGACUUAUCAUCUCCACCAAUCACAUAAGGCCACGUCGACACCAAUGUACAACGUGAGUUUUGAGACUUUGGGAGCUCCCGGGAUUUGAGACUUUAAGCUGAUUCUGGUGAUACGUUGUUCCCUGCACCCGGUGCAUUGCCGCAUCUGUGCACCACCUCUUUUAUCGGCCCUCCAUCUCAUCUCUUACUUUCGAUCCAACCGUUCAACCCCGGGUUCUUUGCAAAGAAUUUUUUAUUAUGUUAUUAGUGGUAGAUUCACCAGACACUUUUAAUUGUAUUAUAAAUUAAUCAGUAUAUACAUAUAUAACGAUAGAGUUUUAUAAAUAAUAAAAAUUUUAUAGAGAGCUUUUCCAUAAAAAGUUGAUCUAAUUAUAACAGUAUAUCAUAUGUGAUGCACGAAUCUUGUAAAAACAAUAAACAGUUGAUCAAACUUACUCUUUAAUUUUUUAGUUUUAGAUAAAAAUUAAUUAAAUGGAGAUCUUUCUUAGAAAAAAGAUAUCUAAUCAACGAUUCAUCAUUACAAUGCACAAAAUUUUUAAAAUAAUGGUGAAUAAUAUUUGAUUAAAAUAUGAGAUCGAACGAAUGAUGCGUUAACAAGCAUUACAUGAUGUAUACUCAAAGCAUUAAUAUUGCCUUUAAUUUUUAAGGAAUGGUUGUUAAUUCGAUUAAUUAGUUCGGUAGAUCAAGUUUACUACAUUAAAUGUGAACUACCUUCAUCUGUUCUACUUCCAAUAUCACAUAUCAAGUAAAUUAAGAAAAAUAUUUUAAAUUUUUUUAUCAUUGCGAUAUUAUUAUAUUAUAUUAUUGAUGUGCUGACACUUAUAAUGUAAAGACUUUUGAUUGAUUCAUACAUGUAUUUUAACAAAUCAUAUAAAUUUGUUAACUCAUUAAUUAUAUAUAAUAAUAAUAACAACAUUAUAGCAGAAUUUAUACCGAUACUUGUUCAGAAGUUAAGUUAUGAUACUAUUGAUGAUAAAUAAAUUGCAUUUAUAAGUAAUUUUUUAGUUUUUCAAUUCAUGAUAGUACAUCACAAAAUGAUAAAAUCUACGCAUUAAAUGGAUAAAAAAAAAAAUUACUACUCUUCUAUUAUUAAUCAUACUUUUUUUACUAAUUUUAUUCUCUUCGCACUGGUCCACGUCAUAUAUGGUGGACCACGUCCAGGGAAUAGUUUCUAAGCAAUUUAACCGGUCUGAUCGGACGGGGAUCAACCUCCAGUUGCCGCGGAAGACCCGGUCCACGACUUUUCAAGAAAAACUUAAAAUCCUAAAAUAUAAUGAUCAAUAUAUUCUAACUUUUUAAAAUAUUAAUUUUUUUUUAUAAUAUAAUGUGUUAAAAGACGAAGUUUUUUUUAUUGUUUUGGUUAUGCAGUGGAUUAAACCUUAUUUACAAAAAUUUUAAAAUAAAAAAUUUAUUUUUAAAUUUUUAUCCUUUUUCGUUAAGUAAAUGUUUUGGAUGAAAAAAUUACAAGUAAUUCAUUAUUAAUUUACUCCUACACUUUUGAUAUGCAAAGUUUUAUUUAAAAAAAAAAACAUAUAGAACACCAAACGAGACCUAAGUUUUUUCAAAAAAAAAGUUACCAAAUGCCUAGCAUUCAUAUAUGUAUUUUUUUAUUUUUAUUAUUAUUGAAUGUUACUAAUGAAUAUUGUAAUACUCAUUUAAGAGGCUAUCUUAAUAUUCACACAAAUAAGAUUGAAUGGUGUGGAUCGUUAUAUCAGUUUUUGUCUUUAACCAGUCUUUUUAUUUUUGUAUAUUUUCAAUUCUAUGUGUACAUAAAAUUAUGGAUUUUGUGCCGAGAUGGUCUUGUAAAUUUAUUUUUGCUUUUGUACAAUUAAUUUAGUACCUAUCAAUUUUCUUUUUAAAUAUUAACAUCUACAAAUUAUAAUAAAAGAAUAAUGCCAUGGCAGUGAUAAUAAUAUGUUAUUUAUGAUAGAUACAUAUAUAAUGAAUUUAAUCAUCAUCAGAAAAGAAUAAAUCCAUUGUAUAUACAUGGUCUACGCAUAAAAAUAAAAUAUAGUUUGAGAACCAAAACAGUUAAGUUAAAACGCAAAACUUUAGGAGCUAAAUUUUUAUUUUAUUUCUAAACAAUAUCGUCAUUUUAUUUUUUUUAAAUUGCUUCGGCCACAUAAACCUAAUUAUGGAAGCGUUAUAUAUAUUUCUGAAUCAUAUUUAUCAAAUUGAUUUUUUUUAAUUAAAGUAGUUGUGGUAUCAGAGUUGCUUGUUUAUUCACGAGUCACGACGUGUUUGAUUAAUAUUCCAUUGGUCUAAUUCUUAAAUUAUAAGCUCAUUCAUUUGCAUGGACCCGGUCCAUUUUUCAGACGCAAAUGAAUUCGGGUUGAUAAAGCUCCUAUCUCGAUCCGUCCUAAGUGGGAUGGGACAGUAAGUAAAAGCUAAAAAUAAAGAAAAAAAAAAUAAUUCUUCUCGAAUCUGUCAUAAUUCGUUAAAAAAAUAGAGCGGAAAGCGUUCAUUUUUUUAGUUCAUUCUGAUUUAUCAAAAAUCCAUUUCUGUUAUGAUUUGUCCUAAUAGAAUAAUAAGCACGGGCAAUAUAUAAAAGAUAAAUAAGUUUGUUUCAAAUUUGUCGCGAUCUGAGAAAAUAGAGCCGGAGGUGAGAGACCCGUUCCGAUCCUGGAACUACCAUGUUUACAGCCCCCACUCUGUUUCUUUGCCUCUCACAGUUUUUGAUUAGCGGUCCACAGCUGACGUGGCGGACCGGGACCAAUGGACCUGUUCUUAAGCGGGGGUUGAGAGCGACGAAAAAUUCUAGAAUGCAACGGGUAUAUUAGUGACGUGGCGUAACAAACCAAUCAAAUUAAUCAUUUUAAGAAUAUAUGUCCCAUCAUGAUUGUAAAAAAAUAUUUUUAUUGUACUUUUGUUUGAAAAGAAGGAUUGUGAUUGGCUUGUUAUUGAUGACGUGGUGCAAGUGUGACAGUGUAGAAUUCCUCGAGAGCGACAGGGUCCGGAGUUGAGGCGUUGACUUUUUGGGGCACGUUCCACGAGGAAUUUUAUCAGUGGUGGUACGAACUACGAAGCCGUGCUUUGUUUUAUUGCUCCUAAUUUAUUCUUACAUAUUGAAUAUGACUUAUUAGAGUUGGGUAAGGAAUUAUUGAAUAUGACUUAGAGUUAGGUAAGGAAUUAUUUUAAUUUUGUCAUUGUCUAAUGAAAAGUUAAUCACUUUUUUAGAACUGUUUUUUUUUUCCCUAAUUCUAUUAUUUAUUUGGUAAAAGAGAGUGACGUAAAUGUUAAAUUUCUCACUUUUUUGUGUGUGUUUUUUAUGGAACACUUUCACAAUAGUAUAUAAGAUAAUAAGAAAAAUUGCAAUAAUUAAUUUCUUGCCUCCUUAUUUUUUUUAUUCUUUCUCUCACAUAAUUGUCCUUACUGUUAGCCAGAGUAAUAUCGAUUAUAAUCACUAUUGCUCGAAAAGGAAUAUAUUAUGAUGCCUGGUAUGAAUAUGAAAAUAUGAUUCACCAACUUCUUAAGAAUACAUCAUUAGGGGGAAACUAAAAGAGAGAAAGUAAUAGCAAAACUAGCGAAAUACGCAAACAACACACUCGUAGAAAGAGCUCAAUACUAAAACAAGCUACUGACCGUCCCUGGCGCAAGCGGCAAAAGGGCUUGAUGGGUUGGUAUUCGAGACCCAAGUUCGAAUCCUAGUUGAUUUACAUUUCCAGUUAAAUUUAUUUUUAAAUAAAAUAGACGAAGCGGGUAGAAUGCUAUCUUUCUCUCAAAAAAGAAAAAAAAAAAGAAAAAAAAAAGAAGAGCUUCAAAAAGCCUACGACGGUAUAGCAUAUUUGCAGCUUACUAUCAUGUAAUCACACUUGCUCAUGGUCGGGCUCAGACCCGAGCAAACCCCGAUCUGAGCCUGGCCCAAAUCACGAUCCAAAUUGGCCGGGCCAGGCCGGACCAGGCCAAACCAGGCCGAACCGGGCUGAGUAACUCCAAGAAAAAAGACCAACCCACUUUUACAUGGGCCCGUCAUUGUUAGACCGAGUUUUGACAAUUUUGAUUUUGUACAGGGGCUAUUUUGCAAAAAAGCGACAAGCGUCGUCCUUUCGCUUCGAGCACGAAUCGUUUCGAUCUCUUUAUGUAAAAAAUAAAUAAAUAAAUAAAUACACAGCCCUUGGCGCGUCUAAGCUUCUGCUCACUCCUCCAUCAACAAUGGCGCCGAAGAAGAAGCCGCAACAACAACAGAGGUCGAAGGCGAAGGGGAAACCCUACCCCGCCGAUGCGAGAACCCCCGCUCCGAAGCUCCAAAUCUCGGCGGAGAACGAGCGCCGCCUCCGCCGCCUCCUCAUGAACACCGACCUCCCCCCGGCCACCGCGGCGGCGGCGGCGGCGCCGCCUCCACCGUCGUCCUUCGCCGCCUCCUCCGCCGAUGCCGCGGCGACGGAGUCGCGAACUGCGAAGGCGAAGCGGCUUCGGAGCGUCUACGACAAUCUCUCCCUCGAGGGCUUCUCCUCCGAUCAGAUCGAGAGAGCCCUCUCCGCUCUCCAUGUUCGAUCCAUCCCUCCAAAGACUUUAAUUGCGAUUUCUCGUCCAUAGUGAAUCAGGGUUUUUGUAUGUUAUUUAGUGUUAAUUUGGUCUGAAGAGGGAUCUCUUACUUGUUCCAAUGGUAGGAGAGUGCGACGUUCGAGAGCGCUUUGGAUUGGUUGUGUUUUAAUCUUCCUGGAAACGAGCUUCCUCUGAAAUUCUCGACCGGUGCUUCUUCUUCUUCUCAUGGAGGUAGUCUCUUCAUAAAUCACGAUGAUAAGUAUAGUGACCCCAUCACCCGUAGGGUAUUUUUGAAGUAGUUAUUUUAGUCAAUCAAAUUGAUAAUUGUUGCUAAACAAAUCAGUGAUUCCGACAACAUUUAGUCGAAACUAGUGUGCUUUUUGUUAGUAUUUAAAGAUCAAUAGUUAGUAAAGCCCUUAAUUUUAACAUAUUAUCAAUUCAAUUGAUUAGGAUAACUCAACUCAAAAUAAAUGAAAGUUUAUGAGUGUCGAUACAAAAGGAGUUCAGAAGCCUAUCUCAAAAUGGCGUAUAGUUGAUCAGUUUCGAUUUAUUUCUAUCGAAGUUUGAUAAGAAACAACCAGCUUGAUAUUAGUGACUAUACUUUUAAUUCUUUUUGUGUUUCCGGCAAAUAAAAGUGUUUAGGAUCAUGUUAAACUGAUGAUAUUCCGUAAUUUACAUAUAGUGUGUAAUUUGUGCAUUCAGAGACAGAAGGGUCAGUUAAAAUUAUAGCUACUGCUCGGGAAGAUUGGGUUGCUCCGCAGCAUCAACAGGAGGAAGAGAAAGACGGCAUGGAUGGAAUGUCGGUUAAAGUGAAAGGGAAGCGUGAUGAAGCGUCUCUAGAUGACGGAAAAUCUUCUCAGGCAGAGUGGAUCCGACAGUACAUGGAACAAGAAGAAGAGGUAUUUGUAUAAGAGGUCUUUCUGCAUAUGGAUAAAUUCAUUAGUGUCUUUAAUUAAUUGCCAUAGAAUGCUAUUUGCAGUAGUUUUUCCUAGCCAUUCUUAACCUUAUAGAUCAAAUUUGUAUGUUGGAUUGGAUUUGAUGAUUUUCGUUCUAUAAUUCUUAAUCUACCAGCAUACUUUGUAUAUUGCACUUCACGGUUAAUUGGGUGAACAAUCAUGUAUGCUGUUGUACUCUUAAUAUCCAAGUUGUCCAAUGCAUAUUUUAUGGGAUCUCCUAUAAUUUGGAAAUUUUGUGUUUGCUUUUGAUGUUAGGAGGAGGACACAAGUAAUCGUGCUGCUUCAUUGGCUGAAGAGUACCGUGUUGCAAUGCUGGGAUCUAUGGAAGCAAAGCAGAAAGGAAACAAGAAAAGCCAGAAACGUUUUGACAAUACUAUCCACAAACUGAAGCAGGAAUUAGCUAUGUUAGGUUUACUCUCAGAUCUCUGAAUUGUUUAAUUCUUUGGUCGAUUACUUCAUUUUGAAUGUUUUAUCAUAUAUUUUCUUGCAGGUCUAUCAGAGGAAAUUUUGUGUUCAGGAUUGCAAGAAGAAUCCGUUUAUUCAAAAAUGGGGGAGGUCACAACAUGCGAUUCAACACCCCAUGAAUCUUUUACUACAAAAAAAGUGUUAGAUGAAGAUAGUCGGCUAGGUUUAGUUGCAUCUGAAAGUGAAUUACAUUUAGAUGAGAGCAGAAAUGACAGCUCUAUUUUGAGAAAGACAGAGGGUGCUGUUGAUCGUGUGGAGAGCCUACAUAGCCCUGUUAAUGCAACUUGUGUGACUAAGGAGGAAUCAGAGGAAUUAGAACUUGACAAUCUGUUUUCUGAGGAUUCUUCUUCUUCUGGAGUAUUACUGAAACAGCAAAAGACAGAAAAGGUGCCACACAGUAAAUAUGUGCAUGCUCUAGGAAACCUUGAUGAAAUAUGGAAAAAGGUAAUUUGGGCUUUUCAUCACUCUUGUAGAAACUAUCAUAGUAUUAUGGUCUUACUAUUGAUGUUUUAUAAUAUUAGUUAAUGACAUUGGGGCUUCACUCUUAAAUUUUGCUUCCCUUUCUGGCGGGAUUCAUGUUGGCAAAUGUUGUCUUGCGAUGCUUAUAUCGCAGGGGGAAUCUGGAAGAAUACCUAAAGCUGUUCUUCAAAAACUGUGCCAAAGACUUGGAUGGGAAGCACCAAAAUAUAGUAAGUUAUCUGAGAAAGAUAACAAAUUCGUCUAUGCUGUUAGCAUAUUGCGUGGAGCAAGUGGACGGGGUAAGAGUCGAAAAGCUGGAGGUUUUACCACUAUGCAGCUUCCUGACCAUGAUGAAACGUUUGAAUCCAUUGAGGUCUCGUACUCUUGUUCCCUAUCUUCUAGUUCUAUUUAUUUUUUCUAACCAACUUUUGCUUGUUUCAGUGUCUUACUGAAUUUUCUUUCCCCUGCAAAUUUUACUAUAUAGUUGAUUAGAAUCAUGAACUUUGCUUUGAAAAUCCCUUAUCUCACAUGCGAAGACAUAUGUGAAGGAUGAUAUAGUCACACAUUCAAUUAUUUUACUUUUUAUGACUUUACCAAUAUAGUCGCACUCAUUCAAUUUUUUUACUUUUUAUGACUUUCCCACCUCAGUUUUUUCAUGAUUUUAUUUUAAAGCUGUUCUCUGCUUCUAGGAGUCUAAGCAAUGAUCCUGUAGUGAUUGACAAGGAAACGAUGGUUUGUUUUGUUCAUUUGGUGGCCUUGUAUUCUUCCUCAAUGAUGUUACUGGCUUUUUUUGUACUUUUAGUACAUCAGAUAUUCUUGCGUUCCAUCUUUUGAAGUAUUUUUUGGAUAAAUUGGGCUACUUUUUCGCAGGACGCACAAAAUAGAGUAGCAGCUUUUGCCCUUUAUCAAUUUUUUCCAGAGCUUCCACUUAACCAAAUGCUAGUAGAACCAUACUCCUCAUUAGUUUUGAAGUGGCAGAAAGGUAUGAUUUUUUUUUUAAAAUCAGCUCCCCCUUUCAAUUUGUCUUUUAUUCUUUUACUGCUCUGACUUUCUUAUUUUCAUAUUAAUGAAUAUACAGAUGAAUGCUCAAGUGAACUCGAUAAUGAGGAUAUCAGAAGAGAUGGCUUUGUGGAUAUGAUUUUGAACACAGAUGCUUCAGGGUCGGCGACUUCCUUUGGCGCCCGAAAUCCUGCUGACAGUGAGAAGCUUGGAAACUCCUAUGAUGCGGGAGAUAAUCCACCACCUGAAAAGAUUAUCAUAGUCAAGUCAUCAACUGAUGCAGGUAUGCUCUCUGAGACGAAUCAUCAUAUUUUCCAUUGACAAUGAAUAGUGGUGAUCUCAAGACUAAAACUGGUGUACUUUUUCUACGAUAUUUUGUUAAAUACCAUCCUUAGAAGCUUUACGAUCGCAGUGGUCAUACAACUUCAUAUAACAUGUUGUACUUCUCUGUCCUUUUUUGUUGUCAAGUGCUUGGACUGAUAUUGAUCAUUUGAGCUUUAGAUUUUUCUUCCAUGGAAUUCUGUUAGAACUGUUGUCUUAGCAGAUAUCCUUUUAUUGUGGUGGGCAAGAUGAAGCACCUAGUUUAGCGAGCUGAUAGCCUUAUCCUAGUUAUGAUGACCUUGCGACUGGUUGAGAAUGAUUAUUGUUGUUGACGUAUUUCUUGGAAAGAAUCAUGGUUAAACAUUGCAGUUGGCUAUUCUGUUGUGGUCCCAUUUUUGUUAUUUUAAAUAUGUUGGACUGAUACGCAUGAUACUAAUCUCAUUCAUGCCCUUUCCCCCAGAGGAAUGAUAAUUUUCAUAGUUUGAACUCUGUUUUAAGCAUGGUAGUUUUUGAUUGGGUGUUUGUAGCUAUGGCUGUAGAAAAUCUGUCUGCUGCUUCUGAACUGGUUGAAUGAGUCAAUGACUGGAGUUUUUCCAUAAGUUCUUUUAUUACCUCAUGUAGUAGUUAAUUUUCCAAUGAUCUCAUUGUUACCAAGACUAAUAUUGAUUAUUUGACUGUACUAACUUCUUAGGUCGGAUUUCUCCGGAACAAGCAGAGAGUGUAUUACUGAAAAAUGAUUUGGCAAAUAAAAAGAAGCUACCUAAGUACAUGGUAUCUUGUUGAUGAUCAUCUAUUUCUCCUUAGUGUAAAAUUAGCAUAUGAGGUGUUAUAUUCUCCAUAUACAUUACAUAUUUUUAAUACUUUGACUGUAUCUCUUUUGCCAAUGCAGAAAAUGCUGGAAGCCAGAGCUGCUCUGCCUAUAGCUAACCUGAAAAAUCAUAUUCUUCACUCUUUAAAUGAGAAUGAUGUGAUUGUUGUUUGUGGCGAAACUGGGUGCGGGAAAACAACACAGGUUAGUUAUAUACCAUCAUAUCUUCCACUGAUUGUCUAAGAUAAUACUGUGAAUGAUUUUGGGAUCCUUUUUGAUAUACAAAUAGAGCAGAAUAUUGUCAAGGCAUGAAAUAUUUAUUUUCCUUAGCAACAAAAUAUUCUAAUUAGUUAUUAUGUAUUUUUAUCAAAUCAUUUCAACUUUAUUGAGAAAAUAACUUACUAAUUUUCAAAAAAAGGGUUUUGAGAUGUGCCAUCGGCACGGGAACUAUAUCAUACCGAUAUUUUGUUGGCACGAUAUGACACUGUGGAAACCGCCCGUGCCAAUGAUCCCUUAAAUCCUUGUAUAUGUGUGUGUGUGUGUGUGUGUGUGUGUUGUUGGCAUGAUAUGGCAUGGUGGAUACAGUCCGUGCUGAUGGGUAUUUAAAUUCUUGUGUAUAUAUAUGUGUAUGUGUAUAUGUAUGUGUGUGUGUGUGUGUGUGUGUGUGUGUGUGUGUGUACACGUAUAUAUAUACGUAUAUGUAUAUGUGUGUGUAUAUAUAUAUAUGUAUAUAUAUAUAUAUAUAUGUAUAUGUUUAUGUAGAUAUGUAUAUUUAUAUAUGUAAAUAUGUGUAUAUAUAUAUUUGUAAUUUCCACUUUUUUGCCAUUAUACAAUUGGUGCUCUUGCAGGUCCCUCAAUUUAUAUUGGAUGAUAUGAUUGACAUUGGGCUUGGAGGAUACUGUAACAUAGUGUGCACACAACCACGCAGGAUAGCAGUACGGUUAUAUCUCAAUCUUGGGUUCUCUUUGUCUUAUCUUAAUCUAUAGUUUCUAGAUGUCAUAGAAGUAUAUGCGCACUCUAUUUUUCUGUAAUGUCGUUGCAAUUGAGCAAAAAUAUAUACAACCGUUGUGGAGCUGUUAUAUUCAUUUUCUGACUUGCUGCAGUGCAGUGGUAAAGAACUUCAUGUUAAACAUCCUUCUGGUUGUUAAUAUGUCUUAAGUAGAACUUGCCAUUGGCAACGAAAGGAUGCUGGGACUCAGGCAAAGAAUUUUAGCUUCUUUUUUUUUUUUUUAAUGUCUAUACUGGCUUAUGCUUUUUUAUGCUUAUAGUUGCUUACUCAUCUUAUUGAAAGGAACUAAUUAUCAGAUGAUUGAUUACCCAAAAAAUGUUAGGACUUUGGAGUAUUUUUAUACUUUUUUAAUUGAUUUCAAAUAGAAGCAUUUUCUUCACAACUGAUAAGAUAGGAAUUUAAUUGGUUAUGUGAAACAUACAUUAAUAUGUGUAGGCAGGUAUCUCAUAUGCAAUUGUGUUAACGGUCUACAGUGUACUACUUAUGCUGUAAAUUUUGAGUUUUGGGCCUCGAUAUGGGAGAUUUAUUUAUUAUAUUGCGUAAAAAGAAUACUUACAUAAUGAAACAGGAAGAAUCAACCUUCCAGCUUAGAUACACCUUAUGCAUUACCCUAAAUCAUAUUAACUGUAAACUGUUCAACAGUAUAGUAAUUAAAUUGUGCUAUAUUUUAAACUUGGCACGUUAUUCUGUCUUAAGAGUAUAUUUGAAAUAGUGCUUUCUUUUUUAUUCUUAUUAAUUGUAGCAUUUUUUUAUGUGUUGCAAAAGGGAUUAAUAUUUAUAAUUAUUCUUUGUCAGGCCAUUUCUGUGACAGAAAGAGUAUCAGAUGAGCGAUGUGAAUCUUCACCAGGUGGUGAUGGUUCAUUGGUUGGCUAUCAAGUUCGCCUCGAGAGUGCUAGGUGCUAUCUCCUUUUAUCUUUUGCUAGUUAUAUCUGAACUCUAGUAACUAUGCAAACUGGCAGUGCUCACACUUCUGCAUUGUCUGUAUUUUCUUUUAAAAUUGUGCUCUUUAUUCUCCAGUUGGUAGACAUAUGAACCUUAGGUUGAACAAGCCACUGUUAAAUUGCAUAGGACUAUGUCGCCAACUUGCAUAUACGUCUUUCCUGUCAGAGCAAAUUUUUCUGUGCCUUCUUUUCUUCACUACUUGUAAUUGGUUUCUGUUACUUCUGUAAUUUUUUAAUCCAUGUGUUUAUGCUCUCAAAUGCAUGGACAUAUUUCUUAUGUUAAAAUCUCUGUUUUAUGUUAUCUAGGAGUGACAAGACAAAACUUCUCUUUUGUACAACUGGCAUCCUCCUUAGAAAAUUGUCGGUAAGUUUUAUUCUUUAUGAGAAAAGGCACAUCGUAAUUAUUCAAAAGAUUCCUGAAUUUCUCUUGGUUUCUGUGUUUCUCUUUCCUGUGUUAUUCAGUUUUGCAUAGUGCCAUUUGCCUGGAAUAAGGAUUAAUAGAUUUAUCGUAAUUGGUUUAGAAAUUCUUUUGAUAAACCUCAAUGGGGGGACAACCUGGGAGGAUGAUAUUGAUGAGGAUGUUAAUGCACAUAAAACUAUCAAAAAAUAAGAAUGGUACUAAUAGAUAUUAUUUAUUUAUAUGCCUGCUUAUGAUGCUCUUGUUAACAAAUAUCAUGUAACUGAUUAGAUUUUUUAUCUUAUAUUAUUGUGGUGACUCUAGCAAUUUAACUUAUCAAACUAAUUACUGAUAGAAGAAUAACUUCUAUUUUAUUUUCUUUUUUUAGUUUUAUUCAACUUUUGUAAUUAUAUGUCGUAACUUAACAUCAUUAGGACUGGCUAAGAAUUGAUGAACUUACAACUGAGACUCAACAAGCAUUUGAUAUUAUUGUAUCUAAUCAGUGCAUAGUUUUGCAAAUAGAAAACCAUGGAAGAGGGGGUGGGGUAUGGGGCUGAGUUUCUUCAUAUUCUUUAAUUAUGUUCAUGCCUAUUGUGGUUAUUUUUAUUGGAUACAGCUUGUUCUUAUUCUUCAAUUAUGCUUAUGCCUCUUAUGCUUUUGCAUGACAUUCUGAUGAAAGUGGGAGACUCAUUUGUUUUUACAGAUAUCUAUUGUACACAAUCUGUCAGAAGCCUUAUGUCCCAUUUGGAUUCAUAUUAUAAUGGUAGUUUGGUUAACAGAAUGAUGACAGAAAAAACAAAACACAUAAGCAUUACUCUUUGGAUUUCAAUGUUCGUUCUUGUCGCAUCAUAUUUAUUAACCUUGUAAUAUUUCAUCAAUUUAAAAUGUUGACAAUAGAUGCUUUUUUGGUAUUGAUUCUAAUAGGCAAACAAGAACUUGGAUGGUGUAACUCACGUCGUAGUUGAUGAAGUACAUGAACGAUCUCUUUUGGUUAGUUUUCCGAGGAUCUCUCAAAAUUUUCUUACUUGUAUGUGUUAGUUUCUUCAAGUAUCUCUCAAAUUUUUUUCCUCAGCAUGUGUUCAUACAUGUUUCUCCAAGUAUCUCGCAAAUCUUUUUCAUCAGCAUGUGUUCAUACAUGUUUCUCUUGCACCAUAUAUAUUAGAAUGUGAUAAAAUCUCACUUAGAAGAGCAUCGAUGGGUGGUAAGUAGCGGUGGCAAUGGGUGUAGUUGUCUUUAUCAUGUUAAAUUUUAAGUUCGUUUAAGAACCGUUAAUUUCAUUUUACCCCAUAUAUAACUCGUCAAGUGAGAUCUUCCUUGCAUAUGAAUUGAAAUUAAUCGUUUGAAUAAUUGAAAGAAAUUGAGAUUCACUAUUUAUGUGUUUUCAUUUACCGGAAAGAGACAUUUUCAACUGCUAAAUUACUAUUUCAUAUACUCUUAUUAUUCUAGAAGAAUAAAUAUACAUUUGCAUAUAAUCUUGAAAGGUCUCUGUUUCAGAGUGACUUCCUACUGAUCGUUCUGAAGGACCUGGUUGAGAAGCAAUCUUCUCGUGGCAUACGAAAGUUGAAAGUAGUUCUCAUGUAUGUCUAUAUUUAUUUAUUUUUGAAAUAUGGUUUUUUGAUGCAGAUAUGCUAUCUCAGUGCUCUAUCUCUUGCUGAUCAACCAUUGAUAGCCUGAUUGCUGCCUUUUCUGGUUCUUUUUCAAUGUAGGUCUGCAACUUUAGAUGCAAGUCUGUUCUCAAGGUACUUUGGUGGUUGUCCUGUAAUUAGAGCAGAAGGAAGGACACAUCCAGUUUCAACUCAUUUCCUUGAGGAUGUUUAUGAAAAACUCGAGUAUUGUCUUCCCUGGGAUUCUCCUGCAUCAGGGACAUCUCUUGCACCAAAUAGAGGAAAGGUUUGGUUUUUAUCUAUUCUUGUAUGGAUAUGAAUGUGAUGUAGUGAUGUUAUGGUUAUGUGAAAAAAAAGGGAAAAUUUUGAGUUCUCAUAUUAUAUCUAUGACAAGUAGAGGCUUAAACAAAUACAACAUUCAAUCUUAUGCUAAUUUGAAAAACAUGUUACUUAUGGGCAACAAGAUCAGUUUGAACCUGUCAUCCUAAGUCAUGUUAGAUCCAACCAUAUUGUUGCAAACCUUUUCUUCUCUUGGAGAAGGAAUGCUUGAUCCAGAUUGCAUAUUAAGUCCACGGUUACCAUGAAAUUAUAUGCUUUUUUGUAAUGCCUUUACGUUAACCAUGGUAUUGCACUCUUACUUCAUUCCACUCCUUUAUUGAAGUUUUGAGCACUGCAUUAAACUUCUCGCCACAGUUCCGAUGGCUAGUUUUUCGCAAUUCAUUUGCUAUAAGUUGAACUUCUGUGGUGACAGCGCAGUAGUGGUGCUGUGGAUAACCAUAGAGGAAAGAAGAAUCUUGUUAUGUCCUCCUGGGGUGAUGAAUCACUACUUUCUGAAGAUUAUGUUAAUCCUCAUUAUAUCCCCGAAUUAUACAACUCCUACAGUGAAAGAACACGCCAAAAUCUUGUAAGUUUGAAUUGUAUGAUGUUACUUCUUUUUUGUCAAUUUAGUACUUAAAUUUACAACCUUAUUUUCAUGCAGAAACGCUUAAAUGAAGAUGCAAUUGAUUUUGAUCUUUUGGAAGAUUUGAUAUGCUAUAUUGAUGAAAAUUGCCCUCCUGGUGCCAUUCUUGUUUUCCUUCCUGUAAGCUUUGUGGAGUAUGAGUCUACUUUUAUUAGUUGUUUCUGCCUGUAAAUUAAGCCUUGCCCUUUUUUUCUCUUUUUUAAUUUCUACUUCUGAUUUUUCCUAUAGGGAGUUUCUGAAAUUGAGUUGCUGGUUGAUAAAUUAACCGCCUUAUUCCGUUUUGGUGGAGUAUCAUCUGAUUGGAUUCUUCCUUUGCAUUCAUCACUUGCGUCAGCUGAUCAACGGAAGGCGUUUCAAUCUCCACCUGAAAACAUACGAAAGGUAGUUGUCAUAUUACUGUGCUUGGAGACAUUCUUUAGAAAAGUGGCAUAAAACAUCUUUUUAGCAUACUAAAAUGUUGCACAAGUUUCUCGGGAAGAAAAUCAAUCAUCAGAUUUGUUUUCUCACCUAUACAUAAUGACUGGGCUACCUGCUUGGGUUUUCUACUGUAUUGAGCAAUAUUUUUUUGAAAUAUAGUAUAUCCUACUUGAGAGUACUUUGUUGAUCAAGGAAACGAUUCUUUAUGCCGCAAUGCUGUCCCAGAAGUUCUGCAUUGAGUUGUUUAUUUUGGGGAAAAGUUCCUGCUAAAUGCUAAUAGUUCUUAAAUUAUAAAUCAUAUUUUCUUCCCUUUUCUAUUUUUUAUGAUACUUUUAGCUGGGAAAGCACUUCUUGGCUAAUCUUCCCGUUUAAGUGUUCUUUUUGUUCUUUCAACUGUAUUAAGUGUUCCCAUGUCAACAACUUAGUUGGUAAAUAAAGCCAAUGAAGAACUACAAAAUGGAAGACAUCUCGAUUACCUUUUCUUUAUUUAACACACAAUGUAAUCCAGUUUUGACGACCCACUGUUGUUACUCUUUUCAAUAGUUUCAAGAGUAGGUUUUCUCAAAACCAUAUUGUAGUCAACCAUCUUGGGUUAAUAUUUUGCUGUAUGCUGCAGGUAAUUGUUGCAACGGAUAUUGCAGAGACCAGCAUAACAAUUGAUGACAUAGUUUAUGUGGUUGAGAGUGGAAAGCACAAGGAGAACCGGUACAAUCCACAAAAGGUUCACAUAUUUCUUGCCAUCGUAUUCAUCAAAAUUUUCAGUUUUCAUGAUCCUUGUAGUUGGAAAUAUUUGCAAAUGUUUGUGGCUGAGGUGUUUGAUUCGUCAAACACAUUUUCACUGAUUCUAAGUUACUAAUAGGGUUAACAGCUAGUCUUCUUUUUUCUUUCUUCUCUUUUGAAGUUUGAGAAAAUAAUGAUAGUUGGAACGUAACAAAAUUUGAAUACUUGAAUCACAAUCACAUGGGUAAGUUUAUCAGGAUAUGCAGCACAAGCGUGUGUCAAUUUUCACGCUCAUGGAUUUCCAGGAUUUUUCAAUCUGAAAAUUUUACCUAGUCAUUGUUGAACCUUCAAGUUCCAGUCAGCACUUUUCAAGAAUAGCCAUAGCAUGUUAUGUAACAAGCAUCAAUUAGGCAAGUAUAUAUAACUGAUAGGUUCACUAAUCAGAUAUUGUAUCCUAAAUGUUGCAGAAAAUGUCAAGCAUAGUGGAAGAUUGGAUAUCCCGUGCAAAUGCAAAGCAGAGGCGUGGUAGAGCUGGUAGGGUGAAGCCAGGAAUCUGCUUUUGCUUGUAUACUCGCCAUCGAUUUGAAAAGCUCAUGCGCCCAUUUCAGGUAAUUAUCAUUUCGUCAUUCUAUUUCUAACAGCAUAUCUGUGUUGUAGCUCAAAGCAAGAUAUAUUUUAUCUGUGCUACCGUAGCAUUUGUUGAAACUUCCCUCGAUGCCAACGUGUAAAUAUUUGUUGAUUUUUCAGUGCUACAUACCUACCUAUGUACAACAUGACUGCAUAGUAUAUCAAUUAGCAUAUAGCUACAUGGCUGCUUCAACUCCUUUCUCUUGUGCCUAAAAAAUCUUGCUAUAUCGACUCUUCAAUCAUGUAUUUGCUUAUGUUGGCUUAUUUAAUCUCCUUUUUUUUUCACAUAUAUGCAGGUGCCUGAGAUGUUGCGGAUGCCAUUGACUGAGUUGUGUUUACAGAUAAAAUCACUUUCUUUGGGAGAUAUCAAAUCCUUUCUACUGAAGGUACGUGAUCUCUCUGUUUCUGUAUGUGUGUGUGUAAGUGUACAUGUACGCCCGUAUGGCUUCAUCUUUGUUCAUGCAUUAUGCCUGUUUCUAUUGACUUAAUUAUUAGUCGAAGCAUAGCUACGUUUCUUUAUUCUAUCAUCUUGAUGUCAGUGGUUUGUUUUUGUGACUAAUUUUGCAUCGAUAUGACACUCUACCAGGCAUUAGAACCACCACGAGAAGAAGCUAUUUCCUCUGCAAUUGACUUGUUAUAUAAGGUACUGUUUUGUUCCUUAUGACAAGUUUGCAAAAUUUAGUGCCAAUAUCCUUAUCUCACUACAAAUAGAUCUAGAAUACUCUUUUGGACUAUUGUUAGUGUUUGUGACUGAUAAGUUCAUAUUGGUGCAUUUUUUUGGUAAAUGCAUGAAAUCUCACUAGAGAAUUUACACUUUAUUUUGGU
rnacentral:lncRNA from 1 species